AAUAAUAAUAAAAGUAAUUAAAAAAAAAAGAUCAAGAAGGAAUCGUCACCAUUGACUAAAGGGCAUCAUAUACUCAUCUGACCUUUAAAUUACAUAGGGUUAAUUUUAUACAGGUCCUGCAAAUAAAAUGAAUUGCAAAUUUAUCUCUACAAAAGUUUAAUUUUUAUAUAUUGUCCCUACAAAAGACCUAAUAUUUUCAAAUAUAUCUUUCUAGUUUGUUACCGUGUUUAUUUUAUAAAUGAAAUGACCUUUUUGUCAUUUCAAAUACGUCCCUACAAAAGUCCCAACUAUUAAUUAAGAUGGGUGAAAAGGUCAAUUCACUUCAUUAACUAAUAGGGUUAAGUAUUUUAUCUAUAGUUAAUUAAUUUUUUCUAACGGAUCCUAAAGACAAGGACAUAUUUGAAAACAUCAGGAUUUUUACAGAGACAAUAUAUGAAAAUUGAACUUUGUAGGAAUAUAUUUGUAAUUCACUAUAUUNGACAAGGACAUAUUUGAAAACAUCAGGAUUUUUGCAGAGACAAUAUAUGAAAAUUGAACUUUGUAGGAUUAUAUUUGUAAUUCACUAUAUUUGUAGGGACCCGUAUGAAAUUAAUCCUAAAUUUUAUUAUGGGCCCGCAUUUCUCAUAAGGUGAAAAAUGGAGAAAAAGGGGACUUUUUGAGCAAAGUUGGUGACAAGGGAGGACAAAAUGAAGUAGAGAGGCUUCGAUGGAUCCGAUCUCCAAGUACCCAACUUCUCUCAAAAGGUUUUAUCUGGGAUUUAAUACCAAAUAAAUUGAAGUAAAAGUUAAAAAGAAAAGCUUUAAUUUGGAAGGACAAAAAGGUGCUGUGUGGACUUGGACUCUAUUUCUCACAAGACAUUGGAUAAGUUGCUAAAUAUGGAGCUCAUAGUUUUCUACAGUACUUAUGAUGUCAAACAAAACUAACUAGUUACAAAUUAGUGUUCUAAAUUUGUUCAUUCAUGAGUUGAUGCAUUAGGAAUGAUUUGCUAAUUAAGUUGCAAGCUAAAUUGUAUUUGUAACAGUAACUUUAUGGAUUUUAUUUUCUCGACAAGUACAUGACCGUUGAUAUAGAUCUUCAUUUACUUCUGACCUUUUCAUUUUUUUGAGCAACAGGAUUUAGGACUCUAAAAUUCCUAAAACUGAGAUUCAAACCCAUGACCUCUCGUGCCAGCACCAAGGGUACCAACCACGAGCCCUAAGCCUUGGGUGUACUCUAAUUUAUUAAUUACAACUGACUUACUAUUCAUAGUUGAAAUUAAUAAUGUAUCUGCGUAAAUAAAGCCUGUACAAAAGACCAAUCAGCAUAAACAGAGUAUUAAACUAUGGUUUGUGUUCUCCCUAUUCAUUUAUGGUUGGUUAGUUAUAUCCCUAAGUACAGAGAAAGAAAAAAGCCUCACCAUUAAGUACCGAAAAAAAUUCGCCAAAUUUGCUGCCCUAAGAUUUUCCUUUUCAAUCGGCCAACAAGUGGGCGGUUAGUAUAUACCGCGACGCAACCUGAUUCCUUGUAAUUUCAACAUUAGGUCAUGGAAAUUGGUUCUUAAAGGCCCCAUCAUUAGUUGUGUCAACGGCGGGCAGUUAACCUAAAACCCAUGCAUACAUAGGAAGAGCAUCAAAAAUAUAUAAAUUCCCUACUCUUAACCGCAAACUUGAUGCAUAUCAACUAUAUCUAAUAAGUCUCCUAUUGUAUGUGACACUUCACCUACAACCAUGCAAUUGAAAAAGGAAGAAUAUAUAGAAAGAAAGGAGAACAUAACCAACUCCUUUUCCUCCUAAUUCGUUUUUUGUGCUCUAGUGUUAUUCUAGUUUAGUUCUAAACUUAAUAAUGCUAUCCUCAUGGAUACACCCAUGUGAAGGGAUACAAAAUAUGGACAAAGAUAGUUAAUUAUAGCUAGGGGGAGUAGGCAUCACCUUUACCAAACAUUUUUGUGGUAUCUUCACAGUGAUCAUUAGCUGUACGUGUUGCUACAGCCAAAUAUAAUCAAAAUUCUUGCAUAGUAAAGAGGUAGCGGCGGCCGAACCCUAUCGGUUAAAUUUUUUCGUAUGCAUUUGUAGCUUCUGUAGUAUAUGAUAUCAAGGUCAUGUUUAAUAAUGCAAGGCCUAAGUUCUGAAGAUAAAAAAUAAAGUUCUAACACGCAAGUCUUAAAUCUACGCCUCUACUGUAAGCCAUAUACUUUAGCGUUUCAUUCCCUACGCAUCAAGCAGUUCUAAAAUCAGUGGAAUUUCUCAAUUAGGAUAAAUAUUUGUAUGCAAGCCCUUUCAUUUGCUGUGAGUAAUAUAACUAACUUACAUUUCAAUUUUACGGUCAUUGUUUUCAAUUUUGAAUUUAUGUAAAAUUCUUUAACUUUACACAGUUGUGUGCAGAUGAGAGGAAAUAAAACUUCAUUUGGACUCUGGCUCUAAUGAUUCAUAAUAAGCCCCAUAUGAUUCUAAAGAGUAACCUAUCAGAAUUUGGGCCAUGCUCAAUCCUGACGCUUAUGAUCACUGACCAUGCUAUAGAUCUAGCACAUGGGAACUUCUUCUUUCGGCGGCAAUUGUUCAACAAAAGUAAGCAACUGAGGCUGUUUUGUUCAUCACUUGUGCCUUGUCACAUGAAAAUGGGAAUUGGCAAACAAAUGAACAAAUUAAAGAUCGCUUAAAGAUUCAAACAGAAUGGUAAAUGGCGACUUUUGAAAGAGCAAAAUAUAGGCUAAUCGUUGGUUCGGUUGCGGUUUCACUAGUCAGAGAAUUUAACGUUGCAACCAACAAUAAACAUCCACAAGUACAUAUAAGUUUGCAAAACAAAAUGUCGCCCAAUCAACAAGUUCGGACCAUGCAGGUAAUACAAUUGAACCUAUGCAUAGAAACCCAAAUAUACGGUUGGAUAUAAACUGAUGAUCAAAAGUUAAUUGGCUAUCUUAAGAGUUUACAGAGCUGUUUAUUGUAGGUUUUAUAUAUGAUUUUUAAACAUGAGGUGUUGUGCAACAUCAAGUCAGUGGAAAAUGCAAGUAAAGAACAAUUUUCUUUAAGUUUCCUAGCUACCUAGAGCUAGGUUGUUUUGACCACAUUGUGUGUGUAAAUGUGAUCCCCAUUCUAGUUAUUGGUGUCAUGCACAAUAAAGCAAAAAAUGUAAAAUUCCCUGGUUUAUCAUUACCAAGUAAAAGUGGAAACAAUUAUUCUGUAAAAAACACUAUUAUACCUCCUCCUGACUCUUUUUUUUCUUUACUCUUUACGCUGUACAAUUUUCCCUUCCAAUACUGUUGGCUCUUUGAGCCAACACAUGUUGUUAUCUUCAGCAGCGUCAUAUAUGUAUAUAACAUUUCAUGGAAAAUUGUUGUUUAAAUGAGCAGCGUUAUCUCCAUCGGGCAUUUUAUCAAGCACUAAGCACGCACUGUUCACAUGACAAGGUUACUAACAUGAUGAUGGCCAAAUAUAGAAGCACAGAGAUUUUGUACGCACCUUUUUUUAAAGUGAUGAUGGGAAAAUCUCUUCGUUCAAUCCCAUCUUGAGAUGACCCAUCUCAGAAUAAUUCUAGAGAAACCUUAAUAUUUUGAGAGAGAGCUAAUUUGUGGAGAAUGAGGAGAGUUAAAAAAAGUGAGGUGAAGUCGGGGGCGAAUCAAGUAAUUUCACCGACUCCUACUCACUGAAAUCGGCAGCGAUACGCACAUUUCGGCCGACUUCGUUCUAGACGAGCAUAUAUCGAACUCGGUAGCGCAAAAGCUGAGUUUGCCGACUUCUACUUCCUUUAGGUGGAGUCUCCGACGAAGCCAGCACAAACACAUUCGUUUUAUCACCAUUUCAACUAUACUGUUCCGAGUAUAUCGAAUUAUUGUUUUUGAAAGAUGAUUGUGCAUACAGUAGCAUAAUGACUGAAUUGAAGACAUACCUCUUUGAACCAUUCAUGGCCAUAGAAGGCAAAAGGACUUAGGGUGUGUUUGUGUUAGUGCUUUGUAAAAGGCCGAAGGUCACGAGCUCCUGCUGUACAUCCAAUCUCAACUUCGUCUUGGUAGGGGACAAAGAUGUGAUCUUGCAUUGUACACGAAGUCAGGGCCAGUUCUAACAGCCCGUAUGAUUCCAAUCACUCUCUGCGUUCUGAUCUUCAACUUCGCCAGUCGCCACCAAAUGUCAGCGCUUGCAGAUUGACAAGAUGAACAACUUCAUGCAGAGAGAUCUGAAUAUACAAACACACGCUUAUGUGACAACAUUGGCUUCUAGAAUAUAUAUUAGUACAGCAUCUAGGAUAUAAUUAAUAUAAAACAGACAACUUGGUAGUACAUUGUACUGCAGCGUUAGUAACAAAGGUACAGUUGCUACCAACCGUCCCUAGAGCAAGUGGCAAAGAACUUGGUGGUUGGUAGCCGAGACUCAAGUUCGAAUCCCAGUUUAUUCACAUUUUCAGCUAAGUUUAUUUCUAAAUGAAAUAAAACGAAGCGGAUAGCGUGCUACGUGCCUACCUAUCUCUCAAAAAAAAAAACAAAAAAAACAAGGGUACAGUUGCUAAGCUGGCCUAUAAACCAACUUAAGGGACUUAGUACACCUAUGAUGAUGCACAAUCUUAUGGAUUCUAUAAUAAAUAGCUUGGUUCAUGCCAAGUCAUGUUCAAAAAUUGGGCUCGUUAGUUGGAUUGAAAGUAUAAAUACGGUGGACACGCCAUAAUGUUAAUGAAGCUAAUAUUGUCAAUCCCCGGUCGCAUAGAUAAAUUAAGUUAAGACUAAGUAUGCAAUUGUUUUUUAUGUGACUAAUUUGUUAAACAAUACGGUAGAUCCCCCUCAAUGUUAAGAGGUUGUAACUUCCUCUUUCACCUUUUCUACUAGUACCACACAAAUCAAUUUUUUUGGAAAAUGAAAAAGACACUCGGUGAAAAUGUCUUAGGUUGUCCCAGGUUCAAGUUCAGUUGCAUUUCAUUUGGGUUAUGGGUUCUUUCCCUUUUUGUUUUUCUUUUUCAGGAAAAAGACCCUAGGUAAAUAUAUUAAAGCUUGAUAUAUUACAAGCAUUAUAAUAGGCUAUUAAAGGGUACACUACUAUGUUAACCCAAAUCCGCUGGUUAGAGGAUACGAAAAGAAAAAAUCUUUAGAAUCCGAGCCCAGAGGCUCUGAAAAAACAAAGAAUGUAGUAAGUGUCAAAAAAAUAGAGCUAGAGAAUUUAUCGACAGGGUUAUUGUUAAUAUGUAGCUUCUUUUUAGAUAUCUUAUUUCACAAUAUUAUCUAAUAUAUUAUUGAUAUAUUGAUAAAUUUAUAUAUAUAUUUUUACUAUGUGUAUAGUUAAAUCACAAUUCUUUAUAUUAUUAUAACAUCAAUACAUUAAUAAUAUAAUAAAAAAAUUAUUGUGAAGAAUCCAAAGCAUUUUUUAAAAAAAUCUAAAUUUUAGACACAUUAAAGUUGGUUCGAACCAAUUUACACUAGCAUUUGGCGCUCAAAAGAACGGCAUCCCCAAAUAUCCCCACUCCACUCGCAUGAUCGCAUCUUAACCUCUCCCCCUCCACGUAGACGCUCCCAUGCGAACUCCCCCCUCUUUCCCCAACCAUCGAGCCUCGAUCUCCGCGACCUUUAUCGCCCACCCCAAAACCCCAACCCCAUCGGCCAUCGCACACCUCACACUCCCAAAACCCUUUCCCCUUUAACCCCUCUCCUCCUCUUCCUCCUCCUCCCCGCUCUUCUUCCUCUUUCUCUUCUACUCAUCUCCAUUAAUGGCGCCCCAGGUCACCAUCCUAGUGACCGGAGGGGCCGGGUCCAUCGGCAACCACACCGUGCUCCAGCUCCUCAACGAGGGUUUCCGCGUCCACAUCAUCGACAACCUCGACAACUCCGUCGCCGAGGCCGUGGAUUGGGUUAGGUCUCUCGCGGGACCUGAGCGAUCGCGCAAUCUCCAUUUCUACGUGGUGAGCAUUUUGGGGUCGUGGUCUCUAAGUUUGGUCUCUUUUGGGAUUUGGGGUGUGAUAAUGCGAUGGCGUUUUUGGUUUUGCUGGUGCAGGGUGAUCUUCGGAACAAGAAGGAUUUGGAGAAGGUUUUCUCUCAAGCAAGGUGGUAUUUCUUUUUUUCUUCGUAGUUUUUAUGAUUCUCUUCAUAUUUUCUUUAUUUUUGAAAUAAUGCAUUGUGCGUGUUGAGAUUAUGGAAGCAAUAAGCAAUUAAAAGUUUAACAUCAAGUUAUUUUUAGGCCUUGUAAUUCGAUUACAACACGUAGCGUGGGAAUUUUUUGGCCACUUUACCAGUUUCAGAGUAUAACUACCCAAAGUCCUUCUUCGGGUGAUAGUAGGAGUCCUUUUGGCUCUUCUGAUUUUGCCUUGCAAGAUCAAAUGUUCUUCAUGAGUCUGGUUUCUAGAAGCUCAAGUGCGCAUUAAAUUUAAAUAACUUGUAAUACAUAAAACAAUGGUAUAACAUAAGGAAUAUAUGUUAUUUUAUAUGUAUUGACACUUCUCAUCCUGAGCUUGCGGUGACUUAAUUAUCAUAAUAAUCUCUUAAUUAUGAUGGCGCAGAUUUGAUGCUGUUAUCCACUUUGCUGGAUUGAAAGUUGUUUGUGAGAGUGUGGCAAAGCCUGGUCUCUAUUAUGAGAACAAUCUAAUUGGCACCAUAAAUCUUUAUGAGUUCAUGGGGAAAUAUGGUUGUAAGAAGGUAUUCUUCUAGCACAUGGUCAUAUAUGUUUAAUUUAGCUAAUAAUUCUAGUAUGUAGGUUUCGCAAUAAAUUGUUAUAGAGGACCUUUCUUAAGUUGACAGGGCAAUUGAUCGGUUCGCUGUGCCAGUAUUCCUUAGUUUUGACUGUUUUAGUUCAAUGUCAGUGUGAAUUCCGCUGGUUUCCUCUGAAAAACUUGAAGAUAGUUUUAGCUGGGUUAGGAGCAGAACAGAUCAUUACCAUAGAAACUCAAAUACGUUGAAGAGGCUUGUAUAGGGAACUAAAAAUUGUACCAGUGAAUCUUAUGAAAUAAAUCAGAUCUUCAAUGCAUAUCAAAGAUGAUAUCCUUCUACCCGAAAAGUGCAACUAUUGACUAAUUUUUGUUUUACGAUUCAUCUGCUAAUUGCUUACAUACAAUUUUGUGCAAAUCCAGAUGGUCUUUUCCUCAUCUGUUACUGUUUAUGGGCAACCUGCAAAAAUACCUUGUGUGGAAGAUUUCGCUCUGGAGGCGAUGAAUCCGUAUGGUCGGACAAAAGAAAGUACCCGCACUUUAUCCUAACACCAUUUAUUUGUUGGACUAGCAUAUCAUGAUUAAGUAGUUUUUCGGCUUAUAGCUCUAAUGCUUUAUUAUAUAGUUUUAGCUUUUUCUUGAAGAGAUAGCUCGUGAUAUUCAGAAGUCUGAUCCAGAAUGGAGAAUUAUAUUGCUAAGAUACUUCAACCCUGUUGGAGCUCGUGAGAGUGGGCUAAUUGGUGAAGAUCCUAAGGGUAUCCCAAACAAUCUUAUGCCUUACAUUCAGCAAGUUGCCAUUGGCAGGUUGCCCGUGUUAAGCGUUUAUGGUGUUGAUUAUCCGACAAGAGAUGGUAGCGCAGUAAGUCUUCUAAGCCUAAUAUUACAAUCGUAGUUCUGGGUUCGUGAUACUCGGUAGUUAAUACAAGUGCUGCAUGCCUUGACCCUCUAACAAACUACACUUCAGUUUGUAUGUCAAUUUAUAAUUUGAUUUUUGGUUGACUACUAUAUUAUUAUACAUAUGCUAUUCUGGUUUUGUAUCAGAUACGUGAUUACAUACAUGUCAUGGACUUGGCCGAGGGCCACAUAGCAGCUCUCCGUAAGCUCUUUUCAACUGACAAAAUUGGUACUCCCCUUACUCUAAUAGCAAAAAUAUAUCUCAAAUUGCAUUUUAUUAUGCAACAAAAAUUUAGCUUAGACUUUCUUUAUUGUUAGGCUGUGUUGCCUACAACUUGGGCACUGGCUCCGGAACCUCUGUGUUUGAAAUGGUUGCUGCAUUUGAGAAGGCAUCUGGGAAGGUGAGGCGCAUUUUCUUUGUUUAACUUCACUAUCUGUGGACACAUUCCACACGGAGUUUCCCUUUUACUCAUCCUUUUUAUUUUUUUGAAUACCCAUCAAAUUGCGACCAAGAAGGCCUGGUGACGCUACAGCAGUAUAUGCUUCUAUUGAAAAAGCUAUAAAAGAACUUGGUUGGAGGUUUGUUUUCGUAUAUAGGUCUUACGGAUCCCUGCAGUCUUAAAUGAUAUGCUUAAAGACAUCAGGACGUGUUCUGGGCGAGCAUAUAUAAUAAGUAGACACUAUUAUAGUGACUCUGUAAUUUAGUAUCUAAAUUUUCUCAAGAAGAUUCUAAUGUGGUUCUUAUGUGUUAAUUGCAGAGCAAAAUAUGGUAUAGAGGAGAUGUGCAGAGACCAGUGGAGCUGGGCUAGCAAGAACCCGAGCGGUUACAGGGCGGACCGAUAAGGUUUGCAGGAUUUGGUCGAUGGAGGGGUUCUUCCCCCUUCUCUUUUCAAUUAAAAACAGGGUAAAACCUGCAUCAUAGUAAGAUGCAGAAAUAAUGAAAAGAUAGAAGAAGCUCAUUCAGGGGUUUGAGAGUUUUUUCUGUUAUGUUUGAAAACAUGUAGAGACCUUAUACAGUUGUUGGGGUUAUUUUUUCCUCGUGAACAAAUUUCUUCUUCGUUCUUUUCUGCGAGCACGGCUUGUUUGGCAACAGCACUUGGUAACGUGCAUUCGGCGUAUAACAUGAAGUUUCUUUGGUGGGAAAGCAGUUGCUUAUGUGACUACGCUGUUCACAAAUGUACAUAGGAGGAUAGAUAAAGAUAGAGAUCACCAAGGAAAUGAACGUUGCGGUGCUACUAUUUCAUAUGCAAAUGAUCUUUAUUCGAGAUUGGUGUGGCGAGCGCGAAGCUGCUCUGGGGUCUGCCCCAGCAGCUCGGCCAACCUCAGCACCACCAUCUCGAACAGCACGAACAUGGCCCCCUCGUACACGCUCCCCAUCGGCAGCCUCGCACCCCCCGGAACUCCCUCCCCCUCCCCCUCCCUUUCCUCGUCGUCGGCCAUGGUCCGCGCGGGGAGGUACGCGACCGCGUCGGCGCAGCGCAGCGCGGCGCUCCCGGCGUCGGGGUGCGCGGUGAGCAGGGCGACGCGGGCGCCCGCGGCCUUGGCGACGGCGCAGAUGGCGUCGACGGUGGCGAAGGCGCCGGGGCCGGCGGAGGCGAGGAGGAGGUCGCCGGGGGAGAUGGGCGGGGUGGUGACGUCGCCGACGACGUGGGCGGGGAUGCCGAGGUGGAAGAGGCGCAUGCAGAGGGCCUUGAGCAUCAGGCCCUCGCGCCCCACGCCGUGCACGAAGACGCGUCCGCGCGACGACGACGACGACGACGACGCCACGGCGGAGAUCUCAGAGACCAGGACCUCGAGCGGCGGGGGCAGGUUCGGAGGAAGAGGAUGGGAGGAGGAGAAUACGGAGCGGAUUUGGUCGCAGAUCUGGGACGCCGCGGCGGCCGAGAGGUCGUGGGCGCCGCUCAUCGCUUAUCCGAAUGCUGUUUGACUAUUGGGUUAAGUUUUGUGGUGAUACAGGAUCUAUGUGUAAUGUUAGCUCGGAGAUUUUUUUUUCUUUGGCGUACGUUUUCGAUAGUCCCAGGUGAGACCGUGAGAUGGAUAAGAAAUUACAGUGAGCCGUGAGAUGGAUAAGAAAUUACUUACAAAAAUAGUACAAAAACUUAAAAAGUUUUUAGUGAUAAUAAUUGAUUUAACCAUUUUGUGUCCAAAAGUGGCCGGAUCCUAAAUAUUUGUUAAGGACUAGUAAGACUCUUUACAAGCGAGUUCAAGUUGAAAGGGUAUAAUCAUUUAUAUUUUAUACACCUUUUUAAUUUUUAUAUAUACUAUUGAAAAUGGUUACUAAAAUACUAUGUUAUCUAAACUAUAUAGACUAAGAAAGUAUACAAUAUAGAAUACUAAAGCAUUACUUUUAAAAUAAACGUUUACUUUAUACAUACUUAUAUCUAUUAAACUAUAAAUAAUUUAUAAAAAAUUAAAGAAAAUAAAAAUAAAAAUAUAAUUAAGCCAAGCGAAUCGAAGUGGGCUACAGACAAACUUAAACCGUAUUAAUAUGCGAACACCCUCCUCUCCCAGUCGACGCCCUAAAACCCUCUCUCUCUCUCUCUCUCUCUCUCUCUCUCUCUUCUUUCAUUUUCGGACACUUCCCCUCUCUUUCUUUCCGCAGCCCCUUCCCCCUCCCAAUCUCUCACUCUUCGACAUGGCUUGCGCUCGAAGAAGCCUCACCUCCAACUUCACCCAACACCUCUCUCGCCGCCUCAUCAACCCUUCCUUCUCCCACCUCCUCCACGAUGAUCGCGACGCCUCCCCCGAACCCCACCCCGCUCCUCCGCCCCCUCCGCCUCCGCGAAACCCUAAAACCCACGCCCGAUCCCUCAACGGCUUCGGCCCCUUUCUCCCUCGCGAUCCGAGAAGCAGCCGCGUCGGAUUCUACACCCCCCUCGGCGUCGAUCCCUUCCUCCGAAGCUAUUCCUCCGCCCCCGAGGGAUCGCCGCCGCCGCGGCCGAUUCCUUCUUCCCAGUGGCGGCGCUGCAGUACUUGAUCGAUGGGGUUCACUCGGUCACGGGGCUUAAUUGGUUCGUUCCUUCUUGUACCAGAUGCAGCUGUUUUAGUGUUCUCUGCUUUUCCAAGAAGCCAAACGAUCUGAUCUUAGUAUCGAUUUGUGCGUUUUAGGUGGGCUUGUAUUGCGCUGACGACCAUCUUGAUUCGAAGUGCUACAGUUCCGCUUCUUCUUAACCAGUUGAAGGCCACCGUGAAGCUUAACGUGAGUCUCGUCUCAUCCUUUCUUUUAGAUUUGCUUUUCUGAUAAUAUUUUUUUGGCCUGGUGUACCUGCAUCAAAAUAUAGCUGUUAUUCCGAGUCACUGAUGUUUGCCGUUUGGUUUGAUCUCCAUAUCUUAGCUUAUUCACACUUUCUUGAACUGCAUCUGAAACAAUGAAAUGUGUCUUGGUGUUUUCCUUCUUGUAUUUUUCAAUUCUUGGCUCACUGUUCUAUGCCUUCUUUGCCUUAUACAAUUGAAAGCAAAUGGUAUUGUCUUUCUACACAACUGUAGUUGCUGUAUAUUCGUUAGUUUAUAUGUUGUGGACCAGAUAUGGUUAGGUUGAAGGGCUUGCAAUAUGUAGUGGGGAAAAUGAUGAUCAAUAUGACAAACCAAUUUCGCACGUUUGGAGUUUGUAGUUGGUAAGUUCAUGAAAGUGCUGCAACUCAGUGGACGAUACAGUUAUCUUCAUAUAUCGGGUUUCGGUUGAAUGGUUGUUGUCAACAUUGUGUUCCACAAAUUACAUCUGAAAAGGUUGGUAAUGUUUUAACAACAGAAGAAGCCUGACUUAGUAUAAUGCGAGGAUAGCUUCGGUUAACCAAUAUGAUGCUAAGCAAUCCUGUUCCUAGGAAUCCCAAAGGUUCCAACUCUCGGCACCAAGGAUAUGAAAAAACUGGCACAAGUCUUUGAAUGUCUCUUAACGAGUUAUAUUUUCUUGCCGAUUUGGUUGAGCUGAUACAAUUGAAAGCAACGAGCAAGAGCAAAGUGUAGCUUAAACUUAAAAAUCUGAAAGAAACCAAAUCAUUAACGUAACCAAUUGCAAUCAAUUAUGCUACAAGGCUUUAUAGAUGUUAUUGUUAUUGCAAGAUGCAUUACUUGUCGCCUUCAUAUUGUUUAUUCAUUUUUCUUUUCAGGUAACAUUCUCAUUUUCAUGGGCAUACAAACUUUGAAAUUUGUGUCUAAUGUUUUUCUUUUCUUUCUUUAUGACUUCCAGAUGAUGAGACCAGAGUUAGAACAGCUAAAGCAAGAAAUGCAAAACGUAAGAUUAAACUCUUACUUUGUGAUGUUUACAUUGAAUUUCUGUUCUCAAACCAUUCAAAUAAUAAGUAGCCUUAUCUUCUGCUCCUCAUGCCUGCGCAUUAAUUUUAAACUAUAUUUUGCAGUCCAUGGAUCCACAAUCUCUUCAGGAGGGUCAAAAGCGAAUGAAUGCGUUAUUCCGGAAGUACGCAUUAUGAAUGAUGAUAUUUUUCUUUGCUGAACGGAGUUUGAUUUUUCUAAUACAUUUUUCUCUGCCAUGUUUUUCUUCAUUCAAGUACUAUGUUCUGAAGAAUUCUUUUUCUUUUCAUACUAUACAGAACAUUGCUCUAUAAGACUAUAACUAAGAAUUCAUAUGUUCUACAAUUAUUUCUUUUUCUCCUGUUCGUUUUAUAUAGAGAUUGACAGCCUGGAGAUUCACUUCUUUCUUAGGUUGUGUAUUGAUAUCUAUUUCUAGAAGAUAUAUUGGCAUGUCAAGCCUAAUUCUCGAGGAUAGCUCUUCCUGGCUGUGUCUGCUACUGGAUGCUCUGGAAACCAUAAAUUGUAACUGUUAGCAUGAAUUGGUACAACAGAGUGGAUAAUCUUUAAGUGGUCCUCUAGGUCUAAUAAGUGCAAGCAUUAAGGUGUUGCUUUCUGGGUCUGUUAAGUUACUGGUUAGCACAGUAGUGUGACAAUUUUUCCUGAUAAUGCAUGUGGUUGUAAAGUUGAAAUUGUCAGCUUUGUUGGAGCAACCAUGCAUAAGAAUGCUCCUUUUAUUUGUCUAUCAGCAAUCACUUGGUAGUGUCCGUUUUGACUAAGUUGUUACAAUCCCUGAUUUUUUUCUUUUUCUUUUUUGGGCAAUUUGUUGCAGGUAUGGUGUUACUCCAUUUACUCCACUGAAAGGAGUUUUCAUCCAAGGGCCCAUCUUUGUUAGCUUUUUCUUCGCAGUAUGUUGAGUUCUCUAUUAAGAAUGAAGUCAUAUAUUCUGUGCUUUCAUUUUCUUGAUAGCCUUAUUCAUUUUAUUUUCUUUGCAGCCUUUUUCAUUUCAUUUUCUUGAUAGUCCAGUUGUUUGGUCGAUUUUGAAGCAGUGAUGCAAUUGAUCUCGUUGAAUAAUUGUAGCUGAUCUCACUCCUUGUCUUGUCAUUUCUAGAUUUCAAACAUGGUCGAGAAAGUUCCAUCAUUCAAAGGAGGGGGAGCAUUAUGGUUUACCGAUUUGACAACUCCUGAUCAGUUAUACAUUUUUCCAGUGUUAACAUCAUUGACCUUCUUGGCCACAGUAGAGGUAAGUGUAUUGUGAUAGAAGUAUUGAUAAAUGCUUGCCUCUUCUAUAUAUUCCAAACUAAAUUGAGUAUAUAUUGCUAGCCUAACUUAUACUUGCCUUUGUCUUUUCUGUUUGAGCAAACUAUUUAAGGCCAAACUUUGAUAAUCUUUUUCCCAUUUACACAAUGUUUGGGCUAUUAUCACUUAGCUGUGCCUUCCUUUACGGCAACUUCAUUGUAGUUGAGAACUUGAUAUAAUGAUAUCAAUUUGUUCUCAUUUCUAGAUUGCUGAACUAAAUAAAUGAUCAUUCUUAUUUUGCAGAUUUUGUGUUGUAGUCUUAAGAUAAUGCAGGAUUGACUUUGGGAUAGGUUAAUUUUUCUGUCUUUUUUUUAAGUCAUAUUUGCCAGUUGUUGUUGAGCAAAUUUGCUUACAUCAUCAAUGACUUCCCUAUUUGAAUUUGAGUAACAUAUUUCAUUGUCGACCACAUGAGCAGGUAUCAUAAUUGUUCUCUUAUUUUAUUUGUGCUGCAUUUUUUUUUCUUGAAGGGCUUUAUUAUGUAAUUAAUCCUUCCAUUAAUUAUUUGUAAGUUGUUUUGGAAGGCUUCAAGAAUAAGCAAAACCUGAAAUUUGUAUUACAUUCUUUCAGCUAAACAUGCAAGAAGGUAUGGAAGGGAAUCCUAUGGCAAAUAAGAUGAAGAAUUUUUCAAGAGUACUUGCUCUUUUUACUGUCCCCUUUACAGCAAGCUUCCCAAAGGUAUCUUACUGUUACAAAAUUAAUAUUCAGUUUUGCUGUACAUAUCAAUAUGGUGCUUGUCAUACAUGAAUUUUUUUACUUGAAGAGGAUGAGAUUAAAAAUAAAGUGGAGACAUUGUGUUUGUAAAUAUUUUCAAGAAAACAGUGUAGGUGAUUGAAUGUCUGGAGAUAGAUAAUCAAUGUGGAUAGAGCAGUGCGCAUGCUAAAAUACUCCGUCUAUGUGAGGUGAAAUAUGCUUAGGAAGAUGUAAGAGACAAUUUGAGACUUAAUAACAUUACUUUGGAUAUUUGGAAGUGCUUUGGGGGAAUAGUGUGUGAUUUCUUUGACUAUAAUAUUCGACAAAGUUUAGGGCUGGAAGAUGCCAGAUGAGCGGAGGCAGAUUAUUCUAGUAGUGUCAUGGAAAAAAGUUGCUCCAUUAUACUUAACCCUAGACCUGUGAGUUAUAGUGGAAUAUUACAACCUCUUGGAGGAAGAAACAGAUUGAGGAAGACCUAAGGUGAAGACUUAAGCUACUGAAAGGGAUUAAAAUUUUACAAUCAUCAUGAUUGUUAUAACGUAAGACUGGUGAUCACAUACUGACCUACAAUAUAUCUGGGGAAAGUAGAAUGGAUGAGUAGUGGCUAAGUUAAGGGAAUGUUCUGGAAAAACUGGAGUACAACAUCUAACGUUGUUCGUAUGACAGCUGUAUAAGGAAGAUAUCCGAAAUUAAAUAGUAAAUUACAAACUUUUCUUUAUGAUAGCAUAUCCAUGUGCUAUCCUAUCACUCUAGUUCCAAACCAUUUUCUUAAUUCUGUUGCCUGCAUUAUGUGAAUGUGCUUGCUUAUGGUUUAUAUUAUUCGGCUGACUGGUUUACGUCCUGUCAGGCCAUCUUUUGCUAUUGGAUCACAUCAAAUAUUUUUUCUCUUCUAUAUGGAUUUGGUAAGUCCAUUUUCUCUUGUUCAUCUGAGGGUUUUUUUUUUCCCCUGUUCCUUUUCUUUGAUUUCCUUAUCUAAGUCUCAUAAACUUAAUCUUUUCUUUAGCACUUAAACGCCCACCUGUAAGGAAGUUUUUGAAUCUUCCUGAGAUAGUACCUCAGGCAGCUGGAGCACCACAACCAAGCUUUUCUUUCUUUGGGAAUUCCAAGUCUAUUACUCCUGUAGCCUCUCCACUACAAGCUAAGGAAGCUACCCAAUCAAUUACAACAGAAAGAAGGGUGUCUUCAUCUGCCGUCAUGAGUCAGCGGAUUAGAAACUUGGAGAAAACUGUGAAAGCUAGAGGCAAGCCUAAAAGAAGGUGAAAGACUUUUACACGGAUUAAUUAUUGAAUACCUAGGCAAAGUAGUUAAUAAGUUAAUCAUAUGCCUUUUGGCAACGCAAUUUAUACUUCUUGCGUGAGGGAAUCAAUUCUUUUUCUCGACAAAUAAAUUAGUCUUGUUGUUGUUGACAUGCGAAAUAGAAAAUAGAAGAUCACUCUAAUUAGCUUGGAGUAUGGGUUGGACCAAGUCAUUAGAAUUCAUUGUAGUAGUGCGGUUCCGCCCUCAACCGAUUGUGGGUAAUAUAAUGCUAUGGCACUACGUUUACUUCUUGCCAGUCACAACCUGACUCUUGAAAGAGCGUUUAAAGUUUCUUUGCGCUUAAUUGGUUUCUUUGCACUUAAUUGGUAACUCGAAAGUUUUGAACAAGUUGUAACAUAAGGACAUAAAUUUUGGUCGAAACAUUGUAAGCUGUGGAACUAUUCUUGUGCUUCUCUCUAUCUCUGUCAAUUUGUUGUCUCGAUUGUAAUUUGUAGAAUCUUUUGGUAUUGACUUUCAUCAUCUCCAAUUAUAUUUUCAUCUUGACUGUUUAGAGGACCAGCUAGUGCCAACUUCUGUGCUCUGCGUUUUUCUUUUUCAUGUUAAUCACUGCGUGACAACAAAGCCGUCAAUGUGAUUAUUGCUGUCUUUGCUGUCUUUUCAAUCCCUUGAACACUUGCAUGGGCUUUUAGCAUUUGUUAAACAGGAAAAGAAAGGGCUUUUUUAUAAAAUGAUCCUGUAGAAUUCUGAAAUUGACAAAAUGAUUCUGUGAAAAUUUUAUUUGUAAAACUAACCCUCAUUUCGCCACGUGGGCGCCACGUCAGGUAAUUCUCACAAAGACGGUGAAUUGUUCACCGUCUUUGUAGUUCUGUCGUGAAGACGGUGGAUGGUUCACCGCCUUCAGAAGGCGGUGAACCAUCCACCGCCUUUAGUGCAAAACCUCUUCUCCUGCUUCCCGAAGGCCGCCUUUCCAACAGCUUAGCUUGUGCCCUUGAGAAGGCGAUGAAUGGUUCACCGCCUACAGUUCUGGGCCGCCUUAUCAGCAAAUCCUUGCGCAAGUUAGCGAUGUUGUGGCCUAGACAAGACGAUGAAUCGUUCACCGUCUUAGACGGUGAACGAUUCACCGUCUUAUGAAGACGGAGGCGGUGAACGAUUCACCGUCUUUAGUGUAAAAUUCCCACCCAGCCAAAUUUUGAAACUCCCACCCAGCCAAAUUUUGGCUAAGUCCUGUAAUUCGGGCUAAAACACAGAUAAGACGAUGAAUGGUUCACCGUCUUAUCAGUGCUGCACUAAAGGCGGUGAAUGGUUCACCGCCUUUAGUGCAAACGACCCCCAGUCCAGGACUUAGCUAUUUUUUUUGCGGCUUUCGGGGAUUUGCAUUAAAGGCGGUGAACCAUUCACCGCCUUUAGUGCAAACAGCAGCAGGUUAUUUUUUCAGCUCGAUUUUAAAAACAAUUUGAACAAUUUUGAGAGAAGAAUUUUUACGAUAACAAAUAUUCCAACAAGAAAUACAACAAGACAAGUGGAAUAACAAGAUACAAUCAACCGGAUAAAAUAAUUAACAAAAAUACAGACAAAUAUACAAAUAUGAACUAAAUAAAGUAUUAUAUAAUAUUAUACAAAGUAUGCUCUCUAAAUCAAUAAUAUACCAUCAGUCUUUCGAUCUUCCUCUUCUUUGACGUCCUCGGUCACGUCCUCAUGCACGGCCACGUCCACGUCCACGUCUACGGCCACGAUCCACAUCGAGUUCAGCAAUAGGUACGUCAUCAAGUGUCUCGAUACCGGCCAUCUAAUUGCGAUGAUGAUGCCCUCGGGGUGCUCCGGAAUCGCCUGAGUCUCCUCUGGCUCAGAUUGAUCACCCUCGAUAGUGGCCGGUGUAAAUGCUGGGCGGAGCUGUGAUGAUGACACGCCAUAACGUCGAGAAUAUACUGAUUUAAAGUGCGUUCGAGAGACUGGCGGCGGAAGCGAGUCCAAGUCCGAUGUCAAGAAAGGAAAUCUCAAAAAAACGGCUAGCAUAUCUAUAACAUCAGUAGGAAAUAGAGAUCGUGACACUCGCAGGCUCGAUGUCGAGUAUGAUUCAGUAGGAGUCUCUAGCUGUCUCCUGUGAUGACCCGAUGUCGACGCAUGAUCAAAAUCUCGACCUCCGAUAUCAGAGACAACAUGUAUGAUAGAAAGGUGCUCCAGUACUGACUCAAUAUGGUCAUAGAUGCCCGUCAAUGGCUCCAGUAUCGUAUGGUUCGCAGGUAAAUCAUGAAUUAGCUCUCUGAUGCUAUAGUGAGUCUGUCGUAAUGCGUCCAACUGCAUUGUAGAUAAUCUCACUUUUUUCAAUCUAUAUUAAAUAUAAGAUUAAAAAAAUAUUUAACAUAUGAGUGAUCGUACCAAAACUCUCUCGGUCUGGCCGCGAGACUGGUAAGUCAAUGGUGAACGCUGUACUGGACGAGAAAUCCAUCUUCUCGUGAUCUUCCAAUACCACUGCAUAUAAAUGGAGGUCAUCUAUAUCGGGUCAUCACCGACAAUCGGCAGCUGGUCAAAAAUGGCCUGUAACUUGUUUACCCAUCUCUCGAUGUGUGCAGUAUGAAAGUGGGUCCAAUCCUCAUUCGGUCGCCCCUGAGAAGUGACAGGACGGAUGGUCUCCACGGGAAUGGGUAUAUGCUGAAGGAGAUCAAACUGCCGUAGAACUCGAUCCGGUACGGAAGCUAAACAAUAUUAAAAGCAAUCAGCGUCGUCCUCGAUCGCCAUAUCUCACUGCCCUGUACACAGUAUCGGUAGCAUAGCUAUAAUAGCAUUUGUGUACGGCCGCCAUAUAAUCUGUGAAAAAAUUAAUAAUAGUCAGGUGAAUGCAUUAAUACGGUUGUAUAUUGAAAAAAAUGAUUACAUUAAUACGUACCUGGGACUUUCCCUGCUGAUCCAACUCAUCUAGAUAGAACUCAAUAUCCGUCGUCCUAACAUUUGCUCCAAAACGUAAUUCGUCGGCAUUCAUUCAUCUAAUAUUUGAAAAGUAUACGUGUUAGUUGCAAAUGUAUAUAUAGAAAUGUAAUAUGUAUCAAAUUUAUAUAUCAUACCAGCAACCCAAAGAGCAAUCAGCCAUAUCGGCAAUAGCUCCAACACUAGUAGGUCUAUAUAUAGAAAUGUAAUAUGUAUUAAAUUUAUAUGUCAUACCAGCAACCCAAAGAGCAAUCAGCCAUAUCGGCAAUAGCUCCAACAUUAGUAGGUCGUCCGACAUGAAGAUGGUCCCACUCCCAAAUCUAUAAAUAAAUUAUAAUAAAUUAAAUAUAUGAUCUUAAAUAGGAGAAGCUUUAUAUAACAAUUAUUAUAUAUUACUUAUAAUACUUGUACUAAUGUCGCGAAACAACAGAAUUCGACAUUUCCUUGAAAUGAAGUCGAUCCCAAUGCUCGAUAAAAAUAGGCCAAUGCUGUUGCACCCCAGACUAAACCGCCACAUGCAUCAGAAUUCGCCAAAAGUGGCAGCCACUUAAACUGAACUCUACAUCCAGUGAGGUUUGGAAAUAGAUUACAGCCAAUCUGAUAUAAUAUAUAUGCAUGUGCUGUGGCUACAACUAAACCAGCAGGGACAUGCAAAUGUAUAUGGUGGAAGUGCUGGUAUAUCCAAUCUAAUCUAAUCUGACCAGUUUUGAUGUCAUCUAGCACAGCCCCUAAAAGCACCUGACAAACCUCUAUCCACGGAUAUUAAAAGCACCUAACAAACCUCUAUCCACGGAUAUUGUACUCCUAGUGACAGAUGCUCCAUCGACACGAAGACCAGAAAUAACCGCCACAUCUUGAAGUUAAUCGUCAUCUCACCGUGGUAGAAAUGAAAAGUCUGAGUCUCUCGUCUUUAUCUCUCGAGCAGAGCUCCUAAUAAAGCAUGAUCCAGCUGCAGACACAAAAGUCGAGAAAUAUAAUAGAAGCAAGACUGUCGUAGCAGAUCUAGCACCGCUGGAUGAUCAAGAUCCCACUGAUUUAAUAUGCGGUAAUGCUCUAUGAAUUGAACUCCGCGAUAUCCCUACAGUGACAAAAAAAUUGUUAAAACAACAUGUCUAUGCAUAAAUACUAAUGAUAACUUUUAGAUCAAUAAUUUUGACUCUCACCUCACUCGUGAUAAAUGACGACCUAUGGAAAUGCUGCUUUGUCAGGGUAGACGAAUCAACUGAUCCCGCCUCCUAUAGAUCUACCAUCUGCAAUUUUAAAAAUUUUUUAAUUAGUAAUAUAUUUACAAAAAGCGCAUUUAAUAUUGAAAGUUUUAUAAAUAAUUAAAAGUUAGAUAACAAAUCCUACGUCGACGUCCUUGUUAUACUAUCUCUGUAUUUCGUGGACAGGUGUUUCUGUAAUGACCUUCCUGCUUAUAAAUACUAUAUUUUGUUUGUCGCCCACUGAUUUCGUCCAUUAUAUUACAAAUACAUGUUGAUCGUGGUCGACCUUUCUUCCUUCUCACGGAAAGCGGUACAAUUGGUGGGCCCUGAAGUCAUGGCCAGUGUCGCCUGUCUAGAACUAGAUGGAAAUGCGGGGCGUAUUUCUGUCGAUAACGCUCUACAGUAUACUAAUGGGAACAAAGAUAAUGAUAAUCUAUUCUUCUUUAAAAUGCUAAAAUCACAAUCACAAUCCGCAUAAGUGCAACGUGCAAAGUGCUAAAAGAUGCGAGUAAGGUAUGCCCGUUAACUUGAAUUCACCGCAAUCACAAUCCGCAUCUGAUCCAUUCAAGGUAACAUUGUAAUUGAAAUGUCCUGCUUGAACUUCAGACUUAACAGGCCCAAAUCGAUAUAUAAUGUGUCACCGCGCCGUUACCAUAUUCAUCGCAAUCCGACUUUCUAUUUUAGGUGCUAACAUGGACGUCAUAAUGUCACCAUUUUUACGACACUUUAAAAAAUAACUAUUAAGUUUGUAAAAAGUUUCCGGAACAAAUGCCGUUAUAGGCAGAGCACGAAUUCUCUUAAGUACCCCAUUUAAACUCUCGGACAUAUUGGUGAUCAUCAACCCGAAGCGUCGCCCUCCAUCAAAUGGCCACACCCAAUACUCACUGUAUACUUCAAGCUUAUCGACCCACUUCCAAGCAUCCUGAUCUAACGCCAGUAAUUUUUUUUUUCAGUUUAUAAUAUUGUACCGGUGUUGAAGCACUGCCAAUAGUAUAGAAUUUGUCUAAUAACGAAUCAUUUUUAAAACGCUUAUUUAUAUUUAUUUUCAUGUGUCGAAAACACCACCGGUGUGCAUGCCCCUGUCGCAUAGGAUAUAUCUCAGCCGCUAUUUUCUUUCAGCUACUAAAUCGAUCAUAUAUAAAAUAAAUCGGACGAUUGCGUAUAACAUAAUGCUGCAAGUUUUGUAAAAACCAACACGAACUUCCACCAUAUUUUUCUUCGCAUAUAGGAUAAGUUAAGAAAAAAAUGCUAUCAUUUGUAUCGACAGCCGUUGCUAUCAAUGCAUGGCCUUCGUAUUUGCCAUACAAGUUAGUGAUAUCAAUGCUCACCACCGGCCGACAAUAUGCGAAUUCACGAAUAGAAUGAGCAAAUGAUCAAAAAAUACGACCAAACUGAUAUAUUUCGUCUGGUGGCCAUCUAUGAUUAAGGCACCAAAAAAUACCAUGAUUACUACUCUGCAGCAUAGUAAGAUAUCGAGGCAAGUCUGCGUAUGACUGCUCCCAGCUCCCAUAAAUAAUCUGUAAUGCUUUGCUCCUUUCUAGCCAUACCUUUCAAUAAUUUAUUUGAACAUGCAAAGUGGAUCGCACUGUUUCCUACACUUCAUUUGGCGUAAUAUUAAGUCUUACCUUCAUUAACGGGAGAAUCACUUGGCAUAUGAAAUUUGAAGUACAAUUACGAUGCGCUGCAUUUAGCAUUGAAAUAAAACAAGUGUGUUGACCCGCAUAUGUCUUAACUCUAAAAUAUGUUGUAUCUUUAGGAAUCGAAACGUGUAAUCUCCAAAGACAUCUCUCAACUGUGCAUUUUACUAUAUAAGUUGUUUUGGUGGAUUUCAAAACCUUCAUCUGAAUAUUGUGAGUAAUGUGCCAUUGAUUUGGAGCGUCCACUAAAGAUGCCUUAUCAUAAAAGAUUUGACGAAACUAAGUCCCGUCAAUGCUAGGUAGAUCGGUAUUGGUACAUCUAACAUCGAACUCACUCGAAUUCACAACAUACUGUUGUAUCCAAUUGUUAUCUGUAGAAAAUUAUUUCGGAUGGUCAAUAAAAUCAAAUUCCUCGUCAGGAUUGUCUACAUAUUCGUUGUUUAUAUGCAGGUCGUCAUUCACACUGUAAAUGGCAUUCGCAAGGCAAUUUAAUCCACCAUCGUGAUCAUCUUUAAUGUUGGCAGCUAGAUCAUUCCAAUUGUCGUCUUCAUGAAUGGAUUCAUUCUCCUUAUUACCGUCAUCAUGAAUGGGUGUAUCCUCCUGAUUACCGUCAUUAUGAAUGAAUGCAUCGUCCUGAUUACCGUCAUUAUGAAUGAAUGCAUCGUCCUGAUUACCGUCAUUAUCAUCUCCUUCAUCAACAAUAUUAUCAAAAACUUCAUUCUAAUUUAUAUAGGACAUAAAUAGUCUGUAAUAGGUCCCGAAUUUUUACUAUAUUAGGUACAAUUUCACUUAAUAUUAAUUAAAAAAGAAUCAAAAAUUUUUUUAUCUCCAAUCGUAAUUUUCGUUAGGUGUAUAAAAUAUCGUGGGUUCGUUACAUGAAGUCGAGGGUUGCGCACGUGACGUCGAAAGUUGCGCACGUGAAGUCAAGGGUUGAGCAUGUGACAUCAAGGGUUGCGCACGUGAGGUCAAGAGUUACGCACAUGGAGACUGACUCUGUCUGCAGUAAUUAUUAUUCAAACUUAUCAAAAUAUUUCGUAAUUAAAUAAAAUAUUCACCGCAAUCUAUAGAUCUUACUGACCUUGUCAUCUGAUAAGUGUCUGGUUCAUUACCAACUUCACGGUCAUCAAUUGGAUUUUUCGAAAAACCGACAUCGAUAUCAUUAUAUAGCAGGCUUGUGUAAUAGCCUUACGAUUGAUAUUGUGUCUCUGACGGAUAUAAAUCUUUCUCGAUGUAUAGCGACACACAUCCAUAAUAUUCAAACAAUUCAAUUAAUCCCUCCAAUGAUUCAUCAUCUAUUAUAUCAUGAGCAAUAUAUUGAUUCGCUCUCGUAGGGCAUCGGAUUGUAUAUUUAAGACAAUAUUCUUCUCUAUUACAAUUUACUAAACGAUACAUUCUCCUCUCAAAAUUCGUAUAGGUCGUAUCUGAACGAAUCGCGAUCAAUUUUUUUCGACCACCGACAUAUCGGAGACUAUUUCCAUCCAUAACUAACUGUCCAUCCCAAUGAACACUAAGAGACAUCCGACGACUAGUUAUUUUAACUACACAAAAAAAAAAAUCAACAACAUUCUCUAUGUUCUCAUUUGUCAAAAUUAAAUCUAAAUUAAAUGAUAAAGAAAUGAUAGAAAAUUUGCAACAAGCAAGGAAGUGUUACUAUGGUCCUAAAAAUUACAAACAAGAAGUCCGAAUUGUAAUGCUUGCUAACUUUAUAAUGCUAAUUUAAAUUAGCAAGAAGUCCUGAAAUAGCAUCUAUAAUUUGCUUGCCUUAGUUUCUGACUUCUAUAACUCGUAGGGCUGAUAGGUAUUCAACACAUUAAUACUUGCUAGUUUCUUCACAUUGAUGCCUGUCAUAUGACCAAAUGUAAUGUAUAAGCUGAUCUAUUUUGUUGGUGGGCCAUAUAAGCUUGAUCUCAUCAGAUCCUGGCUCAACUCAUACAUAUGAUUUCUAACUUUUCUUANCAACUCACAUUGCAGGUAGCAACCUCUCUCAGCAAGGUUAAACUAGGUUUAAACCUAGUUUAAACUAUGUUUAAAUCUAAUUUAAACCUCCCUCAUAAUUAUAUAUAUUGAACAAAUUUUGACGAUACUAAAAUAUGUUUUACAAUUAUCAAUAUCCAGAAAAAAUAAAAUACAUGAAAUUUAAAAUUUUCUAUGGAACAUGCUUGAAGAGAAGUUUCUCUCCCAAUCCGUUAAGUAAUGAAUAAAAUGAGGGAGGUUUAAAUUAGAUUUAAACAUAGUUUAAACUAGGUUUAAACCUAGUUUAACCUUGCUGAGAGAGGUUGCUACCUGCAAUGUGAGUUGCUGAGGAAGGUGGGCACAGGCGGCGGAUGGGUUGGUCGACGACGACCGGCGGCGCCGACGUCGCAGGGGUGGCGGCGACCGGAGGCGGCUCCUAGAGAGGGAUGGGCAGAGAGGGAGAGAGAGACAGAGAGAAAGAGAGAGAGAGCGAAAAGGGAGGGAGAGGUGUCGGAGUCAGUCUGGGCCCUAGGUAUACCUAAUGAAGGCGGUGAAUGGUUCACCAUCUUCAUUAGGGCGUGUAUUGUUCAUCGUCUUAUGAAGACGGUGAACGAUUCACCGCCUUCUCUAGGACCGCCCGCGAGCGGGUGUUCGCACUAAAGGCAAUGAAUAGUUCACUAUCUUUAGUGCAGCACAGAUAAGACGGUGAAUCAUUCAUUCACCGUCUCGUUCACCAUCUUAUCUGUGUUUUAGCCUCGUCUCCAGGACUUAGCCAAAUUUGGCUGGAUGGGGGUUUACACUAAAGACAGUGAACCAUUCACCCGCCUUCUCGAGGGCACAAGAAUGGCCGAUGCUAAGCUGUUGGAAAGAUAGCCUAGUAAGGAAAGCGGAGGGAGAUUUUGCACGAAAGGCGGUGAAUGGUUCACCGUCUUCAUUAGGCGGUGAAUCAUUCACCGUCUUCACAAAAGAAUUACGAAGACGGUGAAUCAUUCACCGUCUUUGCAAGAAAAAUCCCACGUGGUGAAAGAAGGGUUAGUUUUACAAAUAUUUUUUUAGGAGGAUUAUUUUACCAAAUACGAAAUUCUACAGGAUCAUUUUAUAAAAAAGUCCAAAAGAAACCUUGAAUUGCAUGCGAUGUCAGUAGCCGAUUCUUUACUAGAAAUAAUGGAUCUUACAGAAUGGAUUUACUGAAAAGAUGAAAGGAUAAUUACUUAACAAUACAUCUUUAAAUGAAAGUGCGCUGCUAAAGCAAAAGCUGCACAUGAAAAUUCCUGUGAAGCCUAGAUGUACCAGCGAUGCAUACUCGAUUAUUUGUAGUGUAUUAACCGCUAUACUAUUUCAGUUUAUUACUGUAGUGUAGCUGCUUUACUAUUCCGGAGUUGUGAGGGAUAAUUCAGCACACGCAGCUCAGGUAGGUGGGUUCUUAUUGUUUUCGAGCUAUAAUAUAAUCCAUCAAUGUCCUCUACAAAAGCAAAAAUCAUUCACCACCUUCAUUAUAUAUAUGCGAAGAUGAUAAAUGAUUCACCACUUUUUGUACAAAACAUUUCAAAUUUAUUAAAAUUUGUCUAAGUCAUAAAGUUAAACACAAAUAAGACGGCGAAUAAAGUGAAUGAUUCACUAUUUUUAUAGCAAAAAUCAGACAUGAAGCCCAUGUGGCGAAAAGAGGAUUAAUUUUUCAAAUAAAAUUUUGACAUAAUUAUUUUGCCAAUUUGAAAUUUUUGGAAGGUCAUUUUAUAAAAAAAAAGCCCAAUUUUAAAUACAACGGCAUCAAGCAACAAUCUUUUUUACACAAUUACACCAUUUGAGUUUGAGACCGUUUAAUGCCUUCGUGAUAAGUUUCAAAACUUCUGAUUAUAUUUAGGUAUUUUGAUAUGAUUUCUAAAAUAGAGAUUUCUUUUGCAUCAAAACUUGUUUCCAAAGCAUUUGAGAACUUACACAUGGUACAGCAAUUUUCUCACCAAGGAGUUCUAAUUUCAAAUUUAGCUUCCUGAAAUUUCUUUUUCAUAACCUUAAAGCUUCCCUGACCUGUUUUCCCCAAAUAAGAUGAGGUACCUCUGAAUAUGUCUGAUAAAAUUGGCGACGUUGAUGUCCUCUCCUCUUUUGAAGGAAUGUCAUCAUAAUCUGCAGAGAAUGUAAGACUAUGCUAGUUUCUUUUGCUUCUUUAUCAAAACAGUGGGAUAAGUGGAGAUAACAUUGACUAAUACAAUGCCAAUGAGUUUUGUGAAAAGAGAUUACAAUAAAACAAUAGAGCCAGCCAAAAAGUAAGUCUCCAGAUUAUACAAAACUAAAGAUAAUCUUCAUUUACAGUCGCUAUACAUUUUGCUUUUACGAUGAUAGGAACUAAGAACAUUGUUUCCUAACACUAAUGAUACAUAUUAGCAGGACGAAUGACAACUGUACCAAAUCUAAAUGUUCAAAUACUCUAUUACUGAAAGCGGCUAGUGAGCAAAAAGGUCAUCAUACUUUGAGUAUAGGUGCGCCCAAAAUAUUAGUUAAAAUUUUUAAGACUUGAAGCAGUAUCUAUUUUUGAGAACUUUACGUGUCAUACUAAAAGACUGUUCAAAGGACAAUUUUAAGAAAUUUGACAUUGAUUUGUAUUUGUUACAGAUUAUUCUUAAACCUUGUGGGGAUCAUAAAGGCAGGUGUCAAUACGUUCCAAGGUGUGUUAUCCUACGUAAUAUGUUGUCUGCCGUUGUUAAAUUCGAGUUUAGACCCAUUCCAACAAAUCCUAUACUAGUUGCAGUAAUUUGGAAGUAAUAAGAAAUGAAUUACAUCGAGUUCCAAUUUGAUCAGUAUAUCACAAGUUUCAGAUUUAGGGUGUGAUAAAUAUUAAGUAAUGAGAUCAGGACAAAAAAGAAAACAAUAAAACAAAAAUCUAAACAUAUCUUCAUCUGACUAGUAGGCAAAUUAUGAAUGCUGUAACACAAAGUUAAACAAUUUGGCAACUGAAGAUACUUGAUGCCAAAUAACAAUACAAACCAAGAUACCACUUUCAUGACGAGUUGAAUAAAAAUAUAUGUAUAUAUGUGCGCACCUGAAGAUUUGGGAAGUUGAUAGUGCAUUUUCAGAAAUUCAGAAGCACUUCCGUCCUUCUUAUGACAUAAAACUCGAAGUAGAGUUUGAGCAUCAUUUGCACAACUUCUCCCACCGGUAGUAGGUUUGAGAUGAUAAGCAGUUUGUUCACUUGCACUUACCAACAUUUCAAUAAUAGUAUCAGCCUGAAAUUUCAUACAGAAAAUACUUGAUCGAGUUAAGAAUUGUCUUUCCAGGUAAAUUUCCAUAUUCUCAUCAAAAGGUUCAAUUUAUUUGCAUAUACAACAGACCUUCAGUGCAAACAAGUCCAAAAUCUGUCGAGCUAAUCUUGCUUCCUUCUCAACCACAUCGAAAGGCAGACCUUGACCAUUGGCUAUAAAAAGCUCCUAGAAGAAAAUCCUUCAUUUUAGUGCAGAAACUUACAACGAAAAUAACAAAGGCACAAAAAUCCACCCUUCCAAGUUGAAUUAGAAAUCCUGUAAACCCCUAUUUUGACCCCUCCAACCAGGUCUAUCUCGGCCCCACGCUCUCUUAUGCUCUCACUCUUGCUUGCUCUCUAGUUCUCUAAAUUUCAACAUGCAUUACGCAUGCACAUUUCUAGUAAAUACAAAAAUAAUUAGCGCUAGUUGGCUAUAAUACCAUUUCAUAUUCUACUAUAUUAGAAAAGCUUAGAACCAAAAGAAAGAUAAUUUGAGUAGAAAAUUUGACUUUCAACUUCAUUUUUGUGGGGAAUUUUGAGCUACAUUAUGUGUUCAUCUAUAGGAAAGUGUUGCAGUAAAUUUUCAAAUUGGCAUUUAAAUAUCCUAAAGAACUUGAUAAUGAUUCUGCACCAUUUUGUUUAAUUCAUCUAUCUUAUUAAUAUCAUACUUACUAAAUGGUGAGCCAGAGGCCUUGGUGGAGCAGUAAGGUUGCUUCAGUGCAACAUGGGUGUGAUGAACUCGAAUAGCAGAAAUUGACUUUCCACAUGCCAAGGUAAGGCUACAUAUACUUAUGACCCUGUUUCAGUAUUUCACUGGACGGCCCGUUUGUAAAAUCUUUUUGAUUAGUUAUUCCUAUAUGUAAUCUUUGACCCACUUAAAUCUAGUACACCUCCAGUAAUCCAAAAAGAUAUAUGUGAUCAGCCACAUGACUAGAACAAAUAUUAUACUUUCUGCAUAUACGUGAUGACCUAAGAUACAGCACGGAAGAUCCAGAAGAAGAAACCACUAGGAUACAAGGAUAAUAACUCUUGAAGAAUCUGCAUGCUCUUCAUCUAACUCCAAAAUAAAUCUAUUGGAAGACAAACUAAAAAAGGUACAUAUAGGUGUUCUAGAUGCUCACUCUACAGUAUGUGUGAUCAGGUUUUAUAAGCUAGCUAUACUGACAUUAUAAUGAUGGAUGAGUGAACAUCAAAAACAACCUGCACUCACAUAGCAUUAUUGGAUGAUCCCCAUGUUGGCUCACAUUGUGAAUUUGUGAUUCUUAUAAUCAUACCUUUUUCUUUAAUAUCUUUUUUCUCACCCUAAUCAAUACUUGGACAUUUUUCCAAACUAGGGUGGGGCACUUGCCCUCCAUGCCCAAUUUGAUCCACAUAAAUGCUUACCUUUAACAUAGCCAAAUCUUCUUGCAUCAGUGGUACAUCAGCUUCAGAGAAGGCACGAGAUGGGCCUCCAUCCAACAGUACCCAAAUAAAACCAUCCUAUGGUCCAAACAUACACAAUUAGACUAAGGAAACUCCUAAUUUUAGGGCUUUUUUUGCAAAUGGCCCCCUGAAAAAAUUUUAUUUUAAAACUAGCCCUAACAAAUUUAUAAUUGCAAAAAUGGCCCUACCCCUGCCACGCAGGCGCCAAGUGGGCGGGUUGGGGGCCUGCUUGGCAAGUUGAACACCGUGUUCAAACACGGUGAAUGGUUCACCGUGUUUCAUAUUUAUAUUCUUUUUCUUCUCUUUUAUAUAUUUUAUGAUUUACCGUAUUCCAUACUUAUAUUCUCCCUAUUAGGGAUGUCAACGGGUCGGGUUUGGAACAGGUUUUCAAAAAUCCGAACCCGAAUCCGAAAAUCAAAUUAAAACCUGAACCCGGUGGGUUUUAAAAAUCCAUACCCAUAACCAUACCCGAAACCCGAACCUGGCGGGUUUUAUAUAAAUUAUUAAAUAUUUUAUAUAUUGUAUAAAUAAAUAAAAAUAAAUUAUGUAUAUAAAUAAUUUAUUCGGGUUUGGGUUCAGAUAAUAUUUUGGGUAUCCAUACCUAUUGACAUCCCUACUCCCUAUUCCUCUUUUCAAUAUUUAUAUUGCGAAAAAUACAUAUAUUUGUAUUUUCUCUAGACACAGUAAACCAUUUACCGUGUUUGGACAUGGUGAAUAGUUUACUGUGUUCAACUUAACACCCUGGCCUAGCCCCGCUCGAGUGGCGCUGACGUGGCGUCUGCGUGGCAGGAUCAGGGCCAAAAGUGCAAAUAUAAAUUUGCUGUCGCUAUUUUUAAAAUAAAUUUUUUCUAGGGAGCUAGAUGCAAAAAAAACCCCUAAUUUUACUAUGUUUAUUUUAAGAUAAGAGGCAUACCAUUGAUGCUUGAAAAAUUUUCAGAACAACUUGGUCCCUUAGUUCAUCAAUGAUUAGAUCACAUAUCCGGUCAAGAACCUAUAACACACAUUAUUUUGUAAUAAAAAUAUGAGAAGUAGGGAAAUUGAUGACCCUCACCAGAUGCAAUCUAAACAGAUGGAAAAUGUAGCUGAAGUAGAAUCCCAAAUAUGUAAAGUAAUAUGUUACUGUGUUGGUCUUACUUGAUCAAGUAGUGGGAUAAAGAUCUCCAAUCGAGCACUGUUAACGCUGCUUCUAUAUAAGGAGAAAAGAAAAGAGUCCCUCAUAUCCCAAAAUAUGACUCUCGGACCUGUAGAUAGACAAAUAAAAAACCAAACAAUUGUUAAUCAUGUCAUAAUUAAUCAACCUGCUAGAAAAACUGAAAGAGUUCUGUGUCACAAUUAAUCACAGAAAUCUUUUCUGGAUUCAGCUCUAUGUUAUGUUUUUGAUACCCUAACAAGUUUCUUCUUUCUAGUGAAGAAAGAUAUUUCACUAGAACAUUUUCUUCGUUACAUGCAGCAACUAUCAACGGCCCACGAACUAUGGCUACAAGUUUGUCCGUAACUGACCACAAUGGUGACAUAAUAAUGUUACCAACAGAAAAAGAUUUAGAGUAAACUGUAAAAUCUGGGACAAUAUUAAUUUUCUUUUAGCAUUUUGAGACAGCCAAAAAGGCCAAAUUAGUAGUCUAUCUGUAGGCACUAGUUUCUCCUUUUGCAACUUACAAGUUGGAUAUCACACAAAACAACUCGUAUAUGCUUUGCUCCAUUAUUAGCUCCUGCCAUCACCUAUAUUAUAAAAGCUUUCCCGGUAUUCCUUUUUCUAAAGCUAUCAUUUAUUAUCUAUGUAUACCACUCAUUCUUUCUAGUUAAAAGCACUAAAGUACCUGAGACAUGUCUAUGGCACUGCGUGAAUGCGAUAGUUUAGUUAUCAGUGAGGUAACAUAUAUACUGAAUGUCUAAAUUCUAAAGCACACAUACAGUUGUAACAUGGAACAUUCAUUAGAAGUAGACCAUCACCCUCUCUCACAAGUGGAUUCUAAAUAAAUAAAAAAAUCCAUGGGAAAAUCGAUCCAUUCAGUAAGCCUGUUUGCAACAAAACACUAAACAUCACUAUCAAUCUUACAAGGAAGUUUGAAAACCUUCUAUGAAGUACUUCUUUAGUCUGCCAAGCAGUCUUCAUCUGUGCUUCCUUUAGAAGCUACUCCAAAUAAUAGCAAUUAAUUGAAUUCUAAUGCACUUUCAGCUUCAAAAAAGAAGUUUCAAUGACUAACAAUGCUUUAGGAUAUAUUGAUCACUAACUCACCAAUGAAGUCAAGCAUCAUCUUGCUUGUGGUAACUGCACCUCUUCUGACGUUAUCAAAUAAUGCAAACAGCUCAUCAACUGAUCCAUUACAUGCUGAUAAAUUCACAUUAACAUCUACAGAAGAUUUUCCAUUUGAUAUACGAGAAAAGUAGUCUGCCAAUCCAAAACCUGUAUUUAAAUAACAAGGCAUUUUCUGUGUGAUACCAUAAACAUCAAUGAUACAAAAACCAUAAUAAGUUGAACAAAUAUUAGGAUAAAAAAUAUUAAAGAAAUAAAACAUUGAAUUUAACAGUUACAAAAUAAGAAACAGCAAUCACAAACACCAGUCAGAUUGUUUACCACUGACAUGAUAAAAUGGGCAGUCAAUAGACUCAAUACAUAGAAAGAAUUUCUUAUGCAGCUAUCUUAUUAUUUAGACUAUUAGAGGAAUGCAUUCUCUCUCCUUCUCCCGGAAUGCAUUCUCUCUCCCUCUCCCGUCCAUAUGUACAAAAACCUAGCACAUGCACAGUACAUACACAAAGUUGACUCUGCUCAUCACUCCAUUCUAAGUUAUAUCAAAACCAGUAGAAUAUCAUAUCAAUUUUCCUUGAAAUUUCUUCCUUACAUACUUAAUUAAAUUCUUAAACAAUUUUUUGGAGUUAAUUUUUACAACAAUUCAGUAUACCAAAAUUCUUCCAACCUACUACCCCUUAUUAUGGUACAGCAGGAAGUGAACGAAGAAUGGUGCACACACUAGGAAGGGAUUAAGUUAUUUUGAACAGAAUGAUGUUCACCUUACGGACCCAAAUAGUCAUUAUUCUAUAAAAAAAGGAAACAACUAUAAUAGGGUCAUAAACAGCAAGAACUAAUGAAGUUUCAUAGACAUGAAGUAAAUGGUUACAGCAACUCUGAUUCCUAAUGUCUGAUCCAACAUAGUUAAUACGACCAUCAAAAAAUUAUAUAACAAUUACAUGCUAACUAUGAAUAUGAGUUUUCAGAUAAUGUUACACUGUUCUACAACAGCUUGACUGAUCCUCCAAAGCAUAGAAUUUCUGGUAAUUUAACCUACUCAGAUAACGGCAAAGUACAUUCAGAUUGCAUGUGAAAAUAACCUCUUGAGGCAGUACCUGACUGAACAAGAUUCCAAGAGUGCUUUAUGGUAUCCUCCAAUGUAUCAAGUUGAUCUCUAAUAUACUGCAUAAUUAUGGAAACGACUAAUAGCUAAAUAACCUAAAGAAAAAUAGAAAGAGAAUAAAGGUAUAUACCCUCGCUAGUGGUUAAAACCCAAUUGAAACACAAAUACUAGUGUGGUUGAUAGAAGGUUCUUAUAAGAAGAGGAACAGUGACCUUGGGUAACCUGAGGAAUAUAAAAGGAACCACAAGGCACCAAUAGAAAAAUGUGCUACACAACACGGUUUUUAUUUAUGAAGUUUACAUAAUAAAGAAAAAAGCAAUAUGCUCAAUAAAACUUCAGAGAGUCAAAUUAAUCUACCCUAUAUUGGCUAUAUUCUUAGAAAGAAAUUUGAGAUGAUGGAACUUACAUGAAGAGUGUUCAGUUUCACACACAGCUUUGGUCCAGUCAAAGUAUUCAGUUGGAAGGUCAUUUUCUCCUCCAAGGUUGUAAGCUGAACAAACUUUUUCUUCAUAAAGGGAUAUAUUGAUUCUGCAUAACGGGUCAAAGCUGGAGUGCUAGGAUACAGCAUAGUCACAUCAACUGCAUUAGAAAGUUAAAUGAAUCAAGGUAAAUCAAAUCCACAUACUACUAAGUUAGAUGAAGAAAAUUAUCAAAAGAUUUAAUCAGCUUGAAAAGACUGCACAAAUAGUGACAAGAUAUUCGAAGUGCAACAACCAUAUCAACAAUUUCUUUGUUUAGGGCUUGUCACUUUAACAUAAGUACAAAAACAAACAAUACAAUGCUGUCUUUAGGGCUUGUCACUUUAACGGACACCAAACAAUACAAUGCUGUCAUUAGGGCUUGUCACUUUAAUGGAAGUACAAAAACAAACAACAUAAUGUUGUCUUUAUAGCAUUCACACUGACAAAGGCACCAAACAAUACCAAACAAUCUACUAAUAUCCGAAUUUGCAACUUUCUAUGUAGAUCAAAAGAAUUAUAUAUCCUUCCAAAUUAUCAUGGUUGGGCACGUCUACAAGACCAACUUCAGUAUUAAUCGCCGUGCCAAUGCACAAAGGGAUAAAAAAAAACAUGAUAUAAUAAUUACCUCGAUUCAGUUUCAGUUAGGCGUUCUCUAAAACUCAUAAGGCUUAUGUAAUAAUAGUUGAUAUAUUCAGAUCGUCCAGUAUACCAAGUUUCAUUGUUAUUUAAUAAGAUAAAUGGAAUAGAUAAUCUCACCAAUAUCCUACUUAUAUUUGUAAUCAAAAUAUGAAAAACACUGAAUAGCUGGAAAAAGAGGAGCAAAAAUACAUCAUUCUUAUCAACAGAGAGACUUAGAGCUUGAUUCUGAGUCUACUCUAGAGUCUAGAGUGUAACAUAACUGAUUACCAUUUUGCACUAUACAUUUUUGAAUUAGUGAAAUAUAACUAUUAACUUAUCUCAUGACAUGUAGAUCUAUUCAUUCAUAAGAAAAAGAAAAAACGUGAACGGUGAUUGGAUUGAUGAUAAAAUAGAAUCCCGGGCUGCGAAUACCUUGUUGAUUGACAAUGUGCAGCAAAUAAGCUUCCAGGCUUCGGACAAUUCCUAUGAGUAAAGAUCGCAAGUGGAUGAUAUCCAUAGGCAGAUUCGAGCUAAAAAACUGAUCAACAGUCUGCAUACAAUUUAGCUAGAUUAAAUGCUGAUGGAUACAGACUAAAUCACAUAAAUUGACUGCUUCUGAAACAUCUGAUAACAUGUUUUAGAGCCAUCAAACUAAACGUGAAUAACCCGUCCUCCUAUCUUUUGAAAUUUGAGAUAAGAACUGCUGCAUAAUAAGCACCCUCCUCCCUGUCACAACCACUUCAACAAAUGGAUUACUCUAACUUUUUUACUUACAACUACCAGAAUAGAUCAAAGCCUUCAUCUCCCUUUAUUUUAUGAUCCACAUAUUGAGAUGCAACUACAGGACUUGAGGACUUCAUCAAAUUGCUCAUAAAUACUUGAUGGUUCAAUGCACAUACGGAGAGGUAAUACUUCAGGUAUAAGAAAGUUAACUUUCAUGUGCUUUCAAGCAUCUCAAACUACUUCUAAUUCAAAUAAUCUGUUACAGCUUUUAAGCAUGGAUGUUUUUAUUAGAGUAUGCACAGCCAUACCUGAACCUGACUAAUUCUCACCAUGUAAUCAUAUCCGGUCUUCCAAUAAUUCAGAUAUAGAAUACAUGCUACUACAUUUUCCAAUAGAUUUCCAAAUAUGCCAAAUAUGUAUUUCAAUUUGAUAAUUUUCUCAAAGAGACUAAUGAAUCACCCUAUAGGGAACUCGAGAUGUAACUUCUAAUAAAUCAUUAAAUGAGAAAGAAAACCUCCUCCACAAUUCGAAAGACUUCAACUGCAGAUUUUGCUUGUCUUUGCUGAGAUGAUAGAGGUUCCCAAUCCUGUGAAACAAAUAAAUGACCCUAUAAAACAUUCCAUUAAGUGAAGGUUUAGGCAAAAUAUCAACAUAUUCAGAGAAACACAAAUAAACUGAUACAGUAAUGAGAAUAACCACUGCUGUUUUUUAAUUAUAUGUGAACUCAUAAUAUCACAUUUUCAAUAAUAUCCUCAAAUAUUAAGAGAAAAUAUCUCCAAUAGUCCCUCUAAGAUCCCACUAUGGAACCACAAGGGGUGAUGGGUUUUUAGUUUUUCCAAUUUCUUUUUGAUUAUUUCAUAGGGGAGUGCACCUCAUUAGCUGACUCCUAUACAAGCUCCAUUGCAUGGAAGUUAAUCACAUUGAUUACUCACUGUCAAGUCUGAUCCAUCACUCCAUAGUCCAUAUAACGCAAUGCACUCAAAUACUCUUUUGAUGGCAAAAUGAAUAUCCAGCAGUUCAACAAUCAUGCCCCAUUAACAGUUUUUCAUGAAUCAAAGAUAUUUCACAGGUUUACUGGACAAUAGCCAAGCCUUUUGGUCACUACAUUAGUGUACAAAUUACCAAUUAUAGUCAACUAAAGUUAGCCAUAUCUCCAACAGCAUUGACUAUCAUAAGCUCCAGCAACAAUGGAGGAAGAACCAAAGGAUCAAGAAAUUCAACUUCCCACCAAACUUGUGAAUCUUAAUUGUGUAUCAAACAGUACAUCGAAAACACAGAAAAAAAGCACAGCAAGAGUGCACAAAAAGACAAGCAAUACUGAGCAAGACAUGGAAAGUUAUAAUACCAUUAGGGUUCAUACAAAUAUCUGAAUGAAAGAACUAUCUUAAAAAACGGCAUAAAGUGUUGCUGAACAACAAACAUCACCACAGUACCUCUAUCUCAACUGCUCGUUUUGUCCAUUCCAAGAUAUUAUCAUGUUGAGCAUGAAUCCACUGUAGAACGAGAGGUGCACAAUAAUGACUGAUCUGCAUGAACAGAAUGAUGACCAAAUUAUGUGACAUCAACAUAUGAAAUAACUUAGUAUAUCAUAAACAUCUCAAAUUGGGAACGAUCACAAGUUGUCCUAAAAAAAAUAGGACGGGAAUUGAAAUUGCCUUAAGCUUGAUCCAUACUUGCACAUUUAUAUUAAAAAUGUGUGCAUUGUGUUGUAUACAUACGUGUGGUUAUAUCCAUGUAUCUUCACAUUGACAUAAUGCAUGCAUAAAUACUAAACAUUUAUGAACAAAAUGGAAGGAAACGAAAGCCAAUAUAAUUCAUCACAUAAAGCAGUCUUAGUUGGUAGCUCAACAACCAGAUAUCCUAUCACAUAAUUUGUUAUGUAUCCUAAGCAGCUUUGUUCUAUUAAAGCAACUAGAAGGAUCUCGAGGACAAUGCAGUUCCCAGAAUUUUGAAUUUUGAAAUGAAAGCAUUUUGGAAUGGAUUCGCUUGGUGGUUAACAACAAUGAUCAGCUAAAUUUGUUAGACAAUUGUACUUUUUUAAAAUACCUGCUGGAUUUGGCAUAGAUUCUUUGCGCACAUUUUCAAGUAACCAACUUGCGAAAAGGAAACUAGAAGGUACCAAUAUCGCAGAUUCAAUUAGAAUACUUCGGCUAACUGGGACCAAAUUGACAAGAAUUCCAUCUUAUUGAUACAAUUAGGGCUUGACUUGGACCCUUAGUGAAUGACAUGAUUGGUGCGGAACCUUUAAUUAUCAAAGUAAUUGCAAAUACUAAGUUGAAAAUAAAAAACUUCCGUCUUUGAUUUGUGAACCACAGGAUCAACAAAACUAAAGCCUCUUUCCAUAUAUAGUGGUAAAUAUAGGCAUCUGAAUAUACUGUCCACAACUGAGCAUUUUCUUUUGAAUGAUAUCAUCUUUCAAUACUUAACUAAUUACAAACAUUAGCUUCGUCAUAUAAUGCAGAUAAAGGAUAAAAAAAAAAAUCGAAACCAAUGAAGAGAGAUAUGAAUGAUAUAUCAGCUGCCAUAUGUCAUGAGAUCAUAACCAUCUACUUCAAGAUUUUUCAUACAACAAAACAAUUCAUGACAAAUUCAUAUAUUCAAUCCCUUCAAAUUUUUUACAACUAGGUGCCCAUUUCGAGUAAUACCUACCAACACUAUGGCCAUCAGUUUGAUUCAUCCAAAGUGACAAAACAAACCGAUGUCAUAAGGUUUACAAAAUGCCAACCGGUAAUGUUUUUUUUUUUUUCCUCUAAUGUACCAUUGAGUUUUGUAGUCACUUUUUGUACUUGAAUCAAUGCUUCACCCCAUAAUGAUUCACGAAACAUCUCGUCCCUGAUCAAAUAUGAUGUUAAUAGGUUCCCUAAAACUAGACUCCUAUAAAAUGAUAUAAAGUAGUUGAUUUAACAGUAUUAUUUCUACAAGAGAAAUUAUAUUAACUCCCGCAUAUUUUUCUUUUCCUUUAGAUGUCCGAAUUUGUAGCUCAGAUACUACACAAAUCCAAGAAGGAAAAUUGCCAAUAGAGCAGUAAGUAGCACGAAUGGUUUGUUCCUCAACAGUACAUUGUAGAUUUAGUCUAUAAUGCUUCCUAAGAACUGCAUUUAAAUUGACCACAAAUAAGUGCAUUUUGCAGGUGGACAAAGCCUGAUCAGGUUCCAUUCCAGCUACAUAAACUGUGGGGAAAAAAUGAAUAGAUUUAAAUCUACGCAAUGCAGAAUUACAGAUGAAUCUAGAUAAUUUUCUAAAAACAGUUCAUACAAAAUAAAUGAAGUGACCAAGUUAUAAGGUUCUAGAUAAGACAGAGCAAUAUAUGACAGGCGAUUAUUGACUUUAAAGAAACUAUAUAACCAUAAAAUAGGACGUAUAAUAACAAACAGGGUUUUUGCAUUUCAAAAGAUAGUACAUAUUUAAAAAGUACCUGAUAUGGAUGCACAUAUUUUGUUGCGGAUGAAUCCACAUUAUCACCGUAUAUGGAGGAAAGCUUAUGAGCCAAGCAAAGCUCUAGAGUGUUUGAAGCCGCUAGGACCUCUUUGACACUCUCUGAGAGAUGUGUGAGCCCUUCCAGGAAUGGUUUCUAGGCAUCAUUAAACAUAUUAAAAAGUAUUGCUACUAGUCUAUAUCAAAUUGCAGAGCGCAAAGAGUUGGAAAAAAGGAGCUAUAGUUAACUCACCAAUCGUUCCCCAUAUAAUAGGUGCAAGAGUAUAAAUGCAAGUUUUCCAGAUUUAGGAUAUUUUUGGCACAAUACAGGAUAAAAUGCAGUGUACUCUUUUUCCGCAACUUGCUUUAAUUCAUGUGCAACUAUGGCCAGAGGAUGUUUAAGUUCCACAGAAGAUUGGUUUUCUGCUAAGCUACAAGCCUAUUAUACAAUAUAAGAGAGCUAUUUUCAGCAAAUUAAACUUUUAUAUGUAUCAUUUCAGAAUGAGAUACCAUGGUCCAACUCACACGCUUAAAUGCAGCUUGAAUAGACUUCACAAUGAAAAAGUGAAACAACUUCCACUCUGGUAUGUUGCCUGCCAUAGAUCCGAAGUACUGCAACGAAACCAGUAGUAAGCAGACAUGAUUAAACAUGUAAGGCGAAAUAUGCGGUUCACAAAAGUGUUGCCCGCCAUAGAUCCGAAGUACUGCAAUGAAACCGGUAGUAUUCACACAUGAUUAACACUUAAGGCGAAAUAUGUGGUUCACAAAAGAGUGACCUAAAACCGUUUUAAGAACUUCACACAUAUAGGUAAACUCUUUGCAGGAGAUUGCGGCAUUUUUUAGGACCAGAAUAAAAGAGCUGAUAUACAUCAAGCACAAGUUAACAACUCCAUUAGAAACUCUCUAAAUGCGGCUUAAAUCUGCUUACCAAGUAAAUCACUUUCAGUUCAUUUUGCUAAAUAAGCCAUUGGCUUUGUGUAAUUUUCUUCAACAACAAGAAGUAUACUAGUCAAUUUUAAUGUUUGCUGGUUGCUUGCUAACUGUGGACUACAAAUUAAUUUUCAUGCCCAUCAUGUAAGCCAGGCUCAAGAAGGUUGACAAAAAAACAACUCAUGUUUCCCUCAGUAUUGUCAAGAACAAUGAGUGACCAAGUUCAGAAUAAUCGCUUUCAGUUUCAAUUGGAUAAUUACAUUUAUCUUUCAAUGUUUUCAGCAGUUUGAGUAGUUUCUGCUUUUAGAUGUUCCGGUCAAAAGUAUUAAGAAGGGAACAAUAAAGAGAAGAUUACAUAAAACUGGAAGUUCGGAAGCUAUACAAAUGAUGUACUUAAUUAUCAGAACCCUGAAUCCGUCAAUGAAAGGUUUAAGUGGUCUGAAACAUCUGCAAGGCUGUUAAAAGUUUUUCUUCUUUUUGAGGCUGUUAAAAGUUGUUAAAAAAGGCAAACUGACGGAACCAUAAGAAUAUACUAAAAAUAGAACAAAUAUAAAAAAGAGUAAACACUCGUCAGAAAUUUUGUUCCUUUACCUGGUGGAACCAGCCUACAGAAAGAAUAUAUGAAUACAUAUCAAAAUAAGAGAUCAUUUUGCAACCUCAUCUGCAGAUAUCAUUUUGCCUAUCAUACUUCAUGACUUAGAAAAGCAAGGCCUACCGGAUAAUGCCCACCCUGCACAACUCAAUCCUUACACUAAGAUUCCUAUGCAUGAAAUUGAAACAUUGUAAUAAAAUUAACUUAUGGAAGAGCUUUCUUCAGGACGUUGCCUGCUUGUCUUAUACCAUCUAUUGAACAAAAUUUAUAUGAGCUGACAUUUAAAGGGGAUGAAAAAGAAAAAUUACCAUAAUAAAAGAACUAUAAAGGCAUCAGUUGGAAACUUUAUUAGCAAUUUAGUAUAGCACUAUGUGAGGUCUAACCUUGUUUUCCGCACAUUCAUCAGCAGAAGUUGUCUGAGUAAGUACUGCCAGGUUCACAACACUUCCAAAAAUAGCAGACUUUUCCUAAAAAGAAGUUACGAGUCAUAGACAUAAUCAUCCCCAGGCAAAUAUGCAUGGUAAAAGUAGAAACUACAGUAACUGAAAAUAUGUUAUUGACAUGAAGACAUUUCAACAAGAAAUACAAAUUCUACCAACAACUUUUGAUGACAUAGAAAAACAACGAGGAGAAAUUUCAUUCCAUUUCCCAUCAAGUUGCAUAAACAAUUAGAAGUUAAAGAAAUGGACCAAUGAAACAGAGAUGAACUUCUGAAUUGGAUAGCAUAGUGAAUCACAACAACAGGAAAGAAACUGUGUUGGAAAAAUCACAUCUCAUUUUCCUAUAACUUGAUAGAGAACAGCUGGAAGAAAGCAAGAUCAAAUACCAACAAGAAAGAUUUACUAUUAUAUACUUCUAAACUUCUCUCACUCCGAAGUGUCAAUAAGAUGUUUAGAACAAAACUGGAGCUUUGAGUAUUUCUCGACAACAUAUAUUUAGAACAAACAAGAAAUCACACCAAACUAUAUACGACAUUAUGGUGACGCUGAUAGCAAAGAUUGGGUAUAACCAUAUGUCAUAAUGGAGCUUCUUAUAUUGUAUAGCUCUUCCAUUUUAGAUAUAUCAACUUAAUAGCUGAUCAAACAACCCAACAUUAUUUGCAUUUGUCCCAGUAUAAGCCCAGAACUUGCUCCUAAGAAAUUGUGCUGAAGGAACGAAUGUCCAAGCUAAUCUUCCUUUCAUACAAGAAGCGCAUGAAAUGACUAGCUGCUAAACAGCAUUGAUGAGACAAGAAAAUUUGAUAGGAUUUUCAAGACAGAUAAUGAAAUAAAUGAAAAACAAACCCUAAAGUAAAGGAUCGGUCAUGAAUUGAAUACAACAUAAAAAAAAAAACAAACCUGAGCAAAAUGAAGAUGAUAGUCUUCAAGUUGAUAGCAACACCAUAAGUAGAUUUUGAAAAAGAUAGCAUCCACCAAGCAUAGAAAUCUUUUACUGCCGUAGGAUUCAACAGAACAAAUAAGACUACUUAUGUAUGCUUCUUCAGUUCCCUCAUCAUUUUUAUGCGAUAAAACUUUCUGCAUCUCAAGAACCGCUAAUUUUAAAAGCAAAAACUCGCCUGUUUUUAUAAACUGGAGGAACAAAAUACUUGCUGAUUAGGAAAAGCUUGACAAAUCUAACAAAUUUAUUGAAUAAAACUUUGUAUACCUAGUUAGAUCAUGAAAAAGAAGGGAAAAAAUGGAAUGAUAAGAACAAGUGGUUUGCAUCAUUAGCAGCAAGAAGAAGAUUCUUGGUUUCAAUACAAUGACUGGCUAUAAGAUAUCGAAGUAUUUACAGAUGAUCUUUCUCCCAGAUCAUGCAUAUAGAUGACAAUGAUACAAAAAAUGGUACCAACAUAAUUUGAACUUCCAUAAGGAAGAUAAAAACAAUUCUCAACUUGAACAAGUACCCUAUAAAAUACAAUAACUACUGUCUAGGAAAACUAGGAGAACUAUUAUCAUGAUCAAGAAUUGUCGUGCCAGUUAGCACAAUCUACCACAGUCAGCACGUGUCGCCUGUGAUGCUCAUGCCAAUAAAUCAGUGCUAGCUAUGCUGCUCGUGCCAAUAAACCAAUACCAACUGUGCCAACAUAUAAUAUACGGUGUGUACCAAGGCAUGCAGUGUCAUUGUUAUGAUCACUAAUUCGUAUUGGAAUUUGAGUUUUUCGUAUAAGAAUUAGGAAUCCUAUUUUAUUUCUUCUUUCUUUAGGACUAUUAUUAUUAGUUAUUAAUUUUGAUUUGUAUUAGAACAGUAUUCCUGCUCGUAUUACGGUUUCUACAUGCUUAUAAAUAAAAGGCUAAACCUGCUUUUUGUUUUCAUUUAUUAAAUUCAUUAAUAAAGACAAGUUAGGGUUUUUACCUCGCCGAUUCUCUUCUCCGAUAAAGAAGAGACUUCUACCACCUGUGCUAAUGACAUGACGACAUAACCCAUGCCAAUGGCAGGACAAUCCUUGAUCAUGAUAUAAAUAUUAAUCUUCGUAUCCAAAGUGUUAUAACUUUAAAAAUGGCAACAGUCACAUUAUUAUCUUCUCUCCAGGGAAAAAGGAAAAAAAAAAAGAAGCUCAACCAAUUAUAGAUACACAUAGUAAACUUCUAAACAGAAAAAAAGGAAUAGAAAAAGAAAAAGAGAUGACUAUGAGAAAAAGAGGCAGAAGAAGAAAAAAAAAACCAAUGAGUGGUAUGUGGUAUGCGAUAUGCGGACAAUCGGCCCACCACAUAGCGCAUAUGCACUAUGCAGGUGCAUAUACGGUUCAUCUUUUAAAAUAUAAAAAAUCAAAUGUAAAUGUAAAAAAUAUACUGAUAUAUUCUUAAAAAUAGAAAUAAACAUAUAUGUAAUAAAUUGACUAAACUUUCAUGAAAAGUAAUAAUUUCUCCAUAAACUAUCAUUUGUUGUCACUUGUUGUCAUCCAACAAACCAACACUUAAAAAUCUAGUAUGAUAACAUCCGACAACUACAAAAAUAUUCAUCAAUACUUAUAUGCAUAAUUAUUAGAUAUGUUAAAAAUAAUACCACAAGUUAUGAAAUAUUAAUAACCAAGCAAUUAAAAUAAGAAAAGAGAGUGGUUAUAUCUACACGAAGAUAGUUACAAUUAUAUCCAUAAUCAGAACCAAAUACAUACACGAAGAUAGUUAUGUGUACAUGUAUAAUCAUCAACCACUGCAUUUCAAUCCCACCUCAAAAUAAAAAAAAAGACUCUAUAUAUGGCCCGCUUGUCGCAUGUGCGGCUGCAUAUGCGGUUUGAUCGUAAUAUCGUAUAUUGCACCGCAUAUUACAUAUGAGGUAUGAUUGAUGGUCCAAACUACAUAUGCAACCGCAUAAACCGCUUUUUGGAAUGCUAGAAAAAAACAGAGGAGAGAAGGAGAAAAGAAAAAGGCGACAAAGAAGAAAAAAAGAAAAAGAAAAGAAAAGGAAAAAAGUACACAAAGCAAAGAAUAAAGGGAAAAAAAAGGAUGAAAAAGACAACAGAGGAUAGUACAAGAUGUAAAGGAAAAGGAGGAGAAGAAAAAGAAGAUGUAGACGACAAAGAAAAAGAAGCAAAAGGAGAAAAAAACGAUGAAGAAAAAGGAAAGAAAGAGAAGGAAACAAUAAAGAAGGAGAAGCAAAAGAUGAAGAAAGUACAAAAAAAAUGGAGGAAAAAAGAGAGGAAAAUAAAGAAAAAGAUUUAAAACAAAAAGAUAAAGCAAGAGAAAUCGGAGAAGAAAACGAAAAAGAAUUAGAAGAAGAAAAGAGAAGAAGUUUAAAAAAAAAAUGGGAGGAAAAGGAAAAAAAAAAAAAAAAAAAAAAAAAAAAAAAAAGGAAGCAGGAGGAAGCGGAGGAGAAGAAGAAAUGGAGAAUAAAAAGGAACAAGGUGGAAGAAGAGAAGUAGAUGAAAAAGAAGUUCGAGAAUCUAGAUCCAGAACCCAUAGGCACCCAAAGUCUUCCCUAGUUGGAACUCAAACCUCCACCUAACCUAGCUCGUUUCCAUGUCCUACAACUAUGAUUCCCUUUAGUUUGGUUCAAAAGUAAUGUAAAAUUUGAUCAUGUUUGGACAACGUAAUACACCGUGACAUUCUCAGAAGUCAGAAACUAUUGUUAAAUUAUGCAAAUUGAUCAAGCUCUUUUGACUCAUCUAGUUUUGUCAGAAUUUGCUUCAAUUAAUAGCAAUACGAUACUAUUUGGACUGCUUCUUUAAGUUCUAAAUGCCAGAAAGCAAUUUUUGAGGCCUAAUAACGUAAUUCAUGCGUACAACUUUGUAGUGAUAAGGUAACUCAUUGCACGUACUACAAUAAUACUUAUUAAAUGAAUGACGAUGAGGGUAUAGAAACAUACUUGUUGGAAAAGCACCCAAGCAUAUAAGACAUUAUGCAACUUUUGAGUAAUACCUAAUGUGGACCAUGUAAACUCAUAAACUUCCAACAUUUCAUCAGCUUCCUGGCAAAAGGCCAAUAGAACAAAAUUACUACGUAAUUAUUGCAUAAUUCAAGAACACUGAAGAUUGAUUACCAAAAGGAAAAGAAAGAGCAAUACCUCUAAAAUCUUUCCAUCUUCAAGAAUAUCAAAAACACUGUAGAGUAAUUUUUCAUAUAGCUUAAUAUUAAACUGAUAACUUGCUGUCCGAUAAUAGGCUUUGCUUUGAAAACCAUAUUUUCCAGGCAUACUGGACAACUUUGAAGCAUAUCUUUUUAUAAGUGACAGGAUCUCAAAAAAGCCAUCAUAUACAUCAGAAACCUUCUCCUGAAAACAUUGAGUAAUUGAUGAGCUUUAGUGAAAAAAAUAUCAAGAUUAGGAUGGUAGGAAACUUUCCUAUUGAGUUAUCUUCAUAAAAACAGUACUAUCAAUGUAAAAUAAUCACCACAAAGAAAUUUUUAGAAAGAUUUAUAGAAAUUAUCUCCAAAAUGGCAGCUAAGAAAGCUCUUACCUCUAUACUUCUGAGCUUUCGGAGAAGUAUCUGCAAUGUUUCACGCAUCUUGGAAUCCAUAUUAACGGAACCAAGGAGUUCUUCUAGAAUAUUGGCCUGACCAAAAGAUACAAGCACAAAAAUUACACUAAAAUAAAUGGUUCACAGAGGACAAGCAACUUUUGCAGCUUACCUGCCUCCUCUGCCACUGCAUGCGUAACCUUUCACUUGGGAAGUCCAGCUUGUAAAGGACACUUAUGAGAUUCAACGAUAUGCAAGGGACAUCAAUUUGUUCAUUCAUCUCCCUCAAAUUUGAAAGCCUCGAACCUUUCCUGAUGAAUGCAUUCGUAGCUUCAGAUAUCUAAAAGAAAUUAAGUCUAUGUCAAAAAACUUUGGCAUUUCUCAAGACCAACGAAGAGAAAAAAAAAAGAAAAAACUAGAAUGAGAGAAAAAAAUAAAAGGGGAAAAAAAAAACAUGUUUGCAAGAUUUAAAUAGUACCCACAUUGUUUUGACCUACUUUUUCAACAUACUACCAUCAAAAAUAGCCACACAUGGACGAUGGUCAUAGUUUUAAUAACAUGCAAGUUGGAUGAUUCUAAGACUACUCACCAACAGUUCUAACAAUUUUUUUUCCUUUUAACAUAUAUUAUUAACAAAAACAAGCACAUUGUGAAACUUGCAAACAAACAGAUAAGAAUCCCAUUCUUGAGAAGAAACAAAAUCAUGACAAUGCAAGUAAACAAAAGAAGUAACAGAACUUGAGAAGCAAUAAUUAGAACACUUUACAUCCGUAUCACAUUCAUAGGGACAAGAACUUCAUUUAUUAAAUAAGCUCAGGGAGGUAGCAUAGCCUAUUUACAGCAAACACACAGGGGUCAAAUAAUGUGUGAAGACCCUAAUGAUGCAAAAGCUAUAGGCAAUCCUUCGUAUAAUUCUUUUCUCAGAGAGCUAUGGAGGACUCCAACAUCAACUUUUUCUCCUUCAUGCUUCGUGCUUCUUAGCAUGCUUUAAAAGGUCUGUACUUCCCUAUUCCCACAUGAUUAAUGAGGAAAAAGCUAGAUAAUUCCUGUAUGACUAAUUUUACCUCAUAAUUUUGUCUGAUAAGGUUAACUCGCGAAAUAUUUGGUAGUUAGAUUGCUUCAGUCAGCAAUACUUUAAAGCCUACUUAAGAUUUCACAAACAAUGAUAAAUCAGAUAGCUGAAAUCUUGCCUCCAUCUGAACCCGGAUUAUAUCAAGAAAGUCGGAAUGGGAAUCUUCUGGAACUGGAAAUGAAGACAAUCCUUCUCUUUUAGAUCUUAGACCCUUCAAGAAAUUAGUCUUCUUUUCCUUCUUCAUCUCUUCGGGAAAAUGUACUUUUCCCCUAAUUGGACAUGGCAAAAUUGGAGACAAGAGGAUCAGCUCUGAGAAAUAUAUAUAGCAACAUUUGCACAUAUAUAAAAAAAAAUGUAUUCGUCCCCUAGUUAGGCCCAGCAACUAAUAACUAUUAAAGCAGAGAAUACGAGGAUGAAGACGUAUUAAACAAAAGUUACAAACAUAUAAGCACAAUAUGGUCACACAUUUUCUGGGGGAAAAAAGGAUGGUGCUGCAUACAAUGCGAAGAGAAAGAGAAUUACCCACAAAACAAACAAGCAAGAAGGACCUCGUAUGCUGUUUCUCGAAUUUCAUCAUCAGAAAUUCCUUCAAGAAUCCAAAGACUACAAUAAGAGUUUACCCACGCAUAUGAUCAUUAUUUACUUGCCGUGUACUAGUUAUGAGCAUCAUAUACCUUCCUACCUGUGCUCAGACCAGGUAAACCCAGCGAAAGUAUGUCCUUAUCUUCUAGUAGUCUAGAAGGCUCAUCAGCUGUAGCAACACCUUUGGUCCUGCUUUCUCCAGAUAUACCAACAUCCCUGCCAAUUAAGUUGUCAUGUUUUGCUACUUGAGAUGAUGUGCCAUUAGUAGUUAUUUUCAUCCCAGAACUGAGUCUAGGAGCUGCUCGCCGCGGAGGGGAACCAGAGAUUUCUGGUUCUGAAACAAAAUAAUAUGAGUUCGUUGAUGAUGAGUUUAGCUGCACAAUUCAAAUCAAUUAAUUAUUAAAUAUAAUAUAUUGUAGGUAUAAUUGUUGCAAAAAAUAACAAUUUAGACACAAAAUUUUGAGAUGUUUCAUUACAGAUAAAUACCAUCUUAACAAAAAUAGACAUUCGUCAAAAUAAGGAAACUAAAGAAAAUUCCAAAAGUCACAGAGCAAUACAACACUACAACAAAUAGAUUAACAAACAAAUAACUAGUCCUAGGUUUCCAGACAGUCCAAGAAAAUUUGUGAUGCAAACAAAAUUAUUCAAAUAAAUCAAUACCAAGCAUUACGAAGAGGUAAGGAAAAAGUGAAAAUAAGAAAAAAAAAUUAUAAGAUUUGGACUAUUGAUGUAGACAAAUUAAGCGUUUGUGGAUAUUUUAAUUGUUCUCAUACAACCUUAAGCCUUGUGUUUCUUGUUCCUAUAAAGAUAUCCCGAGGAGAAUUUAAAAUCUUUAUAGCGAGUUAAAUCAAGAACAAGAUGAAAGGCCAGAUAACAAUUUGAACGGUUUUGUUCUUCACCUAUGCAACAAAAAAGAAUCCUAAAUGUAUGACUAUAAACAAGAUACUAUAGGCAUAUAACAGGCUAAUAGCAUCUUAAAACAAAUCAAGGAAGACAUACAAUUCAAUUGCUAGUUCCCCCGUUGAAAUAUUCUCUCCUCUCGAUAAUAACCAGAACAACAGUAUUUCCCAAACAUACUGCAACGAUCCUAAUUGUCUCAGUCACAAGAUACAAGAAGCAAUUCAUUCAUGAAUCAUUAACCAUGAGAGCGACAAGGAAUCAAGAAAGAAAACCUAAAAGAUUGAUGCGUUGAAACAGAAUAAACUCUCACCAUGAUCGGAUACUUUAACCCAUCGAAGUACCUCCUCGUAGCCUCCGAAGGAUCAAAUUCUUCACCUGAAUCACACAACGGAGACACAUCCCCAAGAAUCACGGUCAUAACAAAAAGCAAACACGAAGUAAACGAGAAGAAAUUGGCGGAGAAGGGUUACCGGAUUCUAAGCAAUCAAGAACGUAGUCAGCGCUAAUGGAAUCCAAAUCGAGACCAGCCAAAUCGAUGGAGGUCCUCGACGGGGCUCGGAUUAAGCCCUCGGAGAAGAGGAACUCGAGGAGGUUGCGGCGAUCACGGCGAUAGCGCUCUAGCAAGAAAGGGGUUCCCAUCUCGUCUGUAGGGUUUGGGAAUCGCGGAGCUACGCACCGAGAACUCGAAGGGGGUCGUCUCCUUCUUCGAUCGUUGUUGUUGGCCUCAUUGAACCCUAGUUCCUGCACAGGUCGCAGGGGGAGAGAGAGGGAGAGGGAGAGCUCGAAAGGGAAUCGUCUCCUUCUUCGAUCGACGCUCUUGGCGAUCUUAAACCCUAAUUCUUGUAGAGAUCGAUGGGAGAGUGAUCGAGAGAGAGGGAGAGGGAGUGGGAGAGGGAAAGGGAGGGAGUGUUAAGAAGGACACCGCGCGCGGGAUUGGACUCCUUUGGAACCCACGGCGGAGAAAAAGGGAGAAGAGCUCGCGUCGGUCUAAUGGAGUUACCGUGGUGUCCCGUAAUAUUUAUAGACGGUGUGGGUUUGGACCGUUUGAUUCUUGGAGCUGGGCGAUCGACGGCUCGAGAAACUCUUUUGGACCGUUGCUGAUCUGCAGCUGCUCGUUUGGCAAAGCCCCUUUUCUUCUUUUCUUUUUUUUUUGGUUUUUUAUUUUAUUUUUUACCUUUGAAAACAAAAGAACCCGUUGGCCGGCUUAUGUGACAUGUUUUGUCUUAAAUAAAAUAAAAAAUUUUGCGGAUGUAUAUCGUACUUUUAGAUAAAAUUUGUAGCUAAAUUCAGUAACUACAAAAAGAGACUAUAAACGAGUUAAUUUUAUUGCUUGUCUUGUAGGUGCCUAUUUGGCCUCCUUAUGAUUUCCCCCGCAUUUGCAGCACGCGAUCGCAAGGCUCAGCAUUUUCUAAAAAGCUUUGAUUUUAAAUUUUUUUUUUUUAAAAGAAAACUAUGAUGACGGUUGGGCCAUUGAAAUCAAACAUCAUUUCAUAUAUAUAUAAGUAUAAUCUUUGGUAAUCUUUACGUGUACGUUUGUAUUCUAUACAUAUAAGCAUAAUCUUUGAUGAUUGUUUACAUGUAUAUUUGCAUGUCAUGACGUGAGUUCAUAGUUUUUAAAUGUGAAUGACGCCGAGUCAAAAUGAGUGCAAUUACAUUUAGAUCAAAUAUUAUUUAUAAGUAUAGAUAUUGACAAUAGAGAGAGAGAGAGAGAGAGAGAGAGAGAUUAAAAUUCACCAGUUUUUAAGCUCCUUUAUGCUUUUAGCCCGCGUCAGUUUGUUCCAAUUUUUCCCACCCUCUGAAUCAUUCAUUUUCAUUAGUUCUGGGCCUGUUCUGGGCAACCCAUUGAUAGCUCUAACAAAAGCUUAUCAAGUUGAGCAGAUCACACUUGUUGGUAAGAAAGAGCAUGUCCCAUGGCAAUGUAUAAGAAUAAUGUCGUGCAUACUAAUAACUUUCUACAAGAUACUGAAUAGCUACAUUUCUCUUUUGAUCUCGCAAUUUGCAAAUACCAUUCUAUGCGACGCAAUCACAUAAGUAUUUCAAUGGUUACAGAAGUUUUCUAUUAUGAGAAAGGAGUUGAUUUGCAAUUGUUUCAACUUCAUUCACCUUAACGGGUUGUUUCAUUUUAGCGUCACCAUUCGUGUACAUGGGAACUUAUUCACACUGAUUUGAUUAAAGGCAAGGCCCCACCGUUUUUAAAUUUGCGAACCGGAGCUUGCCCUUGUUCAAAAAUUGUGUUGAUAUCAUGUCAAAAAUUAUCGAACGGUUUAGGUAGGUCAAAAGAAAGAUUGUUUUGCCGGGUUAACUAAAACAGUAUCCGACCAGAAAUUUAUCGGGCCCCAGUCCGGCCCACUAACACAUAUUGGGCCUGAUCUAACCGGGUAAAAACCGAUCUUCCUUUCGCCUAUUUCACUUUCCCUCCAUAAUUCGAGGGUUGCUACGAGCUUGCCCUUUUCCCCUUCCCCUCUCCUUCUGCCCCCUCUUUCUCUCCCUUUAUCGUCUUCUUCCUCAGAGCUCACUCCGAGCCCAUCCAUGGCGACCUCAUCCACUCCGUCGUUCUCUUCUCCGGCUCCUCCUCCCUCAUCCUCCUCCUCCUCCUCCUCCUCCUCGGCCUCCGCCAACAACUACGACAUCCCAUGGGUCGAGAAGUAUCGCCCCACCAGAGUCUCCGACGUGGUCGGCAACGCCGACGCCGUUUCCCGCCUCCAAGUGAUCGCCCGCGACGGAAACAUGCCCAAUGUCAUCCUAUCGGUAUGCUCCAACGGCCCCUUAGAUCUCAGAACCCUAGACUCAUUUGGGCAUUCCCUCGAAUAGGAACCUCGCGCUUACAAUUUUUCUUUAGUUGUCUCAGGUAAUGUAUCUUCAAGCAGUAUUUGUGCUCCGUUUUUUCUAUUAAAUUUUGGUUUGCAGGGUCCUCCUGGAACUGGGAAGACGACGAGCAUACUCGCCCUCGCUCAUGAGCUCUUAGGGCCUAAUUACCGUGAAGCGGUUCUCGAGCUCAAUGCAUCUGAUGAUAGGUAGAAUGACUGAUUGUUUUGUAUGUGCAUUGUUCAUUGAUCUAUGAGAGAUUGAUUUGGUUUUCAUCUGAUUAUCGCAGGGGUAUCGAUGUCGUGAGGAACAAGAUAAAGAUGUUCGCGCAAAAGAAAGUGACCCUGUCGCCUGGGCGUCACAAGAUUGUAAUUUUGGACGAGGCAGAUAGGUAUUUUAUUUGAGCUGAUUGGUAAAUUAUUAGGGGGCAUAGAUAUCCAAUGAUUUAUUCAGCUGUUUUUGGCUAUUUUGAUGAACUUGUUCUGAUGUUGGAAUUGUGUAGCAUGACAUCUGGGGCGCAGCAGGCGUUGAGGAGGACCAUGGAGAUAUAUUCCAACACCACAAGGUUUGCUCUUGCAUGCAACACAUCAUCUAAAAUCAUUGAGCCCAUUCAGAGCAGAUGCGCCCUUGUUCGCUUCUCGAGGCUGUCUGAUCAAGAGAUUCUCAGUCGCCUUAUGAUUGUAGUGGCAGCUGAGAAGGUAAAGUUCUUCAGUAUGGUGAUCAGGAUAUGUUUUAUAUCCUUCUUAACUUCCUUAGGUGUAAUUAUGAUCAAUAUGCUCAUUUAUGAUGAUUAAUUAAAGUAAAAUUUCAUAGAUAAGGACAUUAAAUAACACGUUGUGGUGCUAAGAUUCAUCUACUUUUGAUUUAAUGCUUAUCUUUUGAUGAUAGGGAUCAAUAGCUUAUCAACAUAACUGAUGCUCUUAUAGUAAAUGGCAACCAUAGUGGUCAGGCUUCUAAAUCGGUUAUUACCUCCAGCCCUUGAGUGAACGAGAAUAGUUAGAAAAGAGUAUCUUGUUUUAAAGGAAGUAGAUCUUAUGAUGGUUGGAAGUGGCCAGCUACGGCUAUUUAGAUUCCAGAACUUGCUAUUGGUGUCAUGUCAUACUAUGCAGGGCCAAACGUUUGUAGCCUCCUUAAGAAAUUGAGAGGGUUUUUCUAACAACACCCUUUGUGAAUAAUUUUUGUAGUCCGUUGAUCCAUGCCUUCCUCAUGGGUUCUUAAAAUGCAUGCUUGAUCCGUUUAGUACUAGUUCUGAGAUCUGUGAGCCACAUAAGCUUGAAGGGAUGGCAGUCGUGCUUCAGUCAAGCAUUCUACUUUGCAUUGAGGUGACCGAGUGGUAUUAUCCCUGAUUCCCUGGUAUCUUAAAUUUAGUAAUUUUAGGGUUAUAUUAUUAUAACUAGCAAGCUAUUUGAAAAUUAAUAUCAUGUAACACCAUUUUCUUCCCUGAAUUUUGACUAAUAGCUACAGGUACUAUGGUAUUAUCACUUGUUCAGUACUCUCGAUUUAUCCUUCUCCGAUUGCAGUAGAAGCAUUAUCUUAAAACGUCAUCCAUGCCUUUGCAUAUUUGGCUAUUUACGCAUAUCGAAUUUCCUAGUUGCCUUGCUCAGGGCCUAUGCCUUAUUUCGUGUGAGUGAUCAUUGAAGAUGCCUGCACUACCGUGUUUCUCACGUGUGAAAGCUAGUUGAUUUGAGCAGAUCGCAAACCUUAUAGGGCAGAAAUGCCUGUGCCAAGUUCUCUAAGCACUUCACCAUAUUGCUAAGUAAGUCUCAUGCUGGAGAUACGAGCUGGCUUAUGAUCUAAUGACUGCUCUCUAAUUGUUAAGUAUAGUAGUUGGUUCAUUGAUAUAACUCAUUAUAGAUCAUGAACUUACCAACAAGUUGAACUUGUUGACAUCAUCAUAAUUAUAUCAUACAAAUCCAUGUUCUCAUAAAAAAGUUCAAAUAUAAGCACACAAAAUUAUGUCUUUUCUCUUCCAGCGACUUCAUUUACUUUUCUGCUUUAUGCCAUAUUCUUUGUAUUUAUUCUCAUCGUAUAAAGUUUUGAUAUACGUAUGCAAUAUAACCUCAUCUAAGUGGGACAUAGGGCUCUAUGGCUAUUAUUUUUAUGUACAUAGCUGUAUGAGUACCUGCACAGUACAUGAAUGCAGUGCGUUGCCUGUCAGUCGCUCCCUUAACACUUACAAACCAACUGUUAUACUUGCUGUAAACGACAAGCGGAAAUUCAUUUGCCAGUGGUUUUAUUUUCAAUCUGUACAAUUCAUGUGAACUGAUAUUGUAAAGCAGUGAAGUUGAUAAUCCGUGAGACAUGUCUGCUAAGCCAAGCAUCUGGAAUGUAGCAUGUAUUUUGCUUUCUUUCAGUUACAUUAUUGCGUCUGUUUUCUGAUGCUAUAUUGUCAUAGCCAAGGUUAUUGAUGUUAGUUUUCUUUUCUUACUUUUGCUAUAUUGAUUGCAACCCAGACUUAUUUCACAAUCCAGUAGAGGACAACAGUUAAUUUUGUAUACUAAUUUGAAUCAUCCUAAUUUGCUUAUUCACACUUUAAUAGGUCCCUUAUGUGCCAGAAGGUAUUGAAGCCAUCAUAUUUACUGCCGAUGGUGAUAUGAGGCAAGCUCUGAACAAUCUGCAGGCUACAUUCAGUGGGUUCCGAUUUGUCAAUCAGGAGAAUGUGUUUAAGGUCUGAACAAAAUAUAGCUGUUGUUGCCUUUCAUCUUUACUUGCUAUAUGGAGUUAAUAUAGAUUCUACAUAUCAUAUUAAUAACAGGUUUGCGAUCAACCUCACCCGUUGCAUGUAAAGAAUAUGGUUCGUAAUGUACUUGAAGGAAGGUUCGACGAUGCCUGUUCUGGCCUGAAGCAGCUCUAUGAUUUGGGCUAUUCUCCCACCGACAUAAUCACCACUCUCUUCCGCAUCAUAAAAAACUACGACAUGGCUGAAUAUCUGAAAUUGGAAUUCUUGAAGGUAGCUAAAUGGGCCAACUUAUAUGUCUGCUUUAUAGAAUUCGAACCCUCUCUUGAUUAUUGAAGACUGUAUUUCUCCGAUUUUGUGUUCAGGAAACAGGAUUUGCUCAUAUGAGGAUAUGUGAUGGUGUAGGCUCAUUCCUUCAACUCUCUGGGCUUUUGGCGAAGCUUGCUUUGGUGAGGGAAACAGCUAAAGCCCCUUAGAAAUCUUGCUACUUGGAAGAGCUUUUGACCAAAGCUUGGUUUCAAUUGAUAGCUGAACUCAUAUCCUGGGUGUUUUGGAGUUUCCUUGUAGGGUUAAUAAUGAAAUUUCUGUAGGGAAUGAUAGCAGUGUAUGCAAUUGGAUGCUUAUGAACUUACAUGAUGAUGAUAACUAGAAUUAGUUCAAGCAAUAUGCUGAAAUGCUAUGAUGAAACUAGAGGCUGUUAUAUCCUUGUAAAUCUCGGCUUAAUUUUUGUACUAUGUUGGAUCUAGAAAUGCAUCAGGUUUGUAGGAGCACCAAACCAGACAAGAAAACUUCUUCACUUGUUGUAUUUUGUUGACAUGAGCAGUUUCUUGCCCCUCCUACUAUUUGCAGCUUUCUGAUAUGAUCUAUCCAUUCUUGUGAGUGUCUACCAUGCUUGAUGUCAUACAUCUAGUGCAAUGGUGAUAAGUUGUUUUCCUGCAUCCAGUGUAUAAAUUUCACUGGUGCAUUGUAGAUCCUGUUGACGCUAUUCACAUAUACCACAACAUUGUAGAUAGAUCAUGUUGACACUAUUCACAUAAAUCGUGCAUAAAAUUUUUGUUCAUCCAAUUAAUUAGUAAAUGUAACCAGUCUCUCGAGUUAAGGGGUCUGGAACAGACUACCGGAGUUUAAGAGAUUUUUUAAGCCCUUCAGGCAAACCGAAGCUAAAACCCGGCAUUUAAUACCCAACUAAAACAAAGCAACAAUUAUAACACUUCGAAACUUGGUCAGCAUCGUCCAACUACUUGUCUACAAAACAUAAACAAAAAAACCUACCAAAAUAAAGAAGCGUUACAACAAUAAAACACAGGUCGCUUGCCUCUCCAUCUAAAAUUUCCCCUAAUGCAUGCAUACAACCAGGGAAAGAAAAAAAAAAAAAAAAAAAANAAGGACUAUUGACUCCGUACAUAAUUCCUUACCACCUAGCAAAGGUUCUUUUCCAGCGCGCGGUUCGUUCUUGACUCAACCCAUUGCCAUCAAAACCCUUCUUCGGCUUUUCUUUUUUUUUUCUCUUUAUAAUUUCCUCACCUUAUAAUUCAAGUAGUAUCGCAAUGCAGAGCGGCUUUGAUCUUCUUGAUGGUGCAAGAGAUUAGGUUGUUAACUGUCUCAACCGACUCGACCGUUAGCUUUGCGGUGGGCUGACUGUUGACAAGGAUCUGGAACGCAACGGUGAGCAGCGACCCAGGGGACGAGCGGUUGGCAUCGGGGAGGAUGGCGAAGCCGGAGGGGAGGAGGGCGACGUACGCCGCAUCGCCGCCGUUCAUGAGGAGGUGCAUGGCCGGUAUGUCGACGGGGGCGUACACCACCAUCGACCCCGACGCGUCCGUGCACGUCUCCUGCAGUAUCAGCAUGCUGCUCUGGUUUGCGCUCGCGGCCUGCAUUUCAAAUGUUGAUGGUUCAAGUCAAAAAUUCAGUAGAAAGUAUAGAAUAAAAUUAUGCCGGACCACUUGAUCUUUGAUGAAUCAUAUAUUAAUAUAAUUAUCUAAAAUAAAAAAAAAACAUUUUAAGAAAAUUAGACGUGCGUAUAAUUUGUUCCGGACUUAGUAUCCGGAAGUUGUAUAAAAAUUAAAUUAAUCCCUACAAAAAUUAAAUUAAUCCCUACAUUCAUCCACCUGUUAAAACAAUACGGGACAACGGCCGAUAUUCAAAAGCUUAAUCUAUUAGAUGUUGGAGAAAAGUAAUUUAUAACUUUAUACUCCUCACAAUAAAACAUUUUGAUAAAUCCAAGAUAUGUUGGUAAAAAUAAUGCAAAACAUCAGUUCGGCUCCAAAAGCUUAAAUUGUUGGAUAACAAUAUUUUAAUGUUUUAUACUCAAAACAAACCACAAGCUUAACAUGGCUCGAACUCAAAAUCUAGAAUAAAAAUAUAUUAAAAAUAAGGCUUAAUUCCACUCUACUAUACUAUACCUCAGUGUUAUUUUUAUUUGCUAUAUUGUAUAAUUUUUUUUACAAGACAUCACUGUAUUAUUAUAAUUUAUCAAUCUCUAUAAUGCAUUUUAGAUUAAUUUUUAUUUUUCUAUCCUGCAUUUUUUUUUUCUUAUAGAUAUUACAAAACUAAUUUUCUCACCAAUCUCUAAUCUCUAUAUUAUUGUUAACAAAUCUAAUAACUUUAUUAAGAGACAAUGAUUAAAUAGUAAAAAUAUGUAUAAAAUAAAUCUCCCAACCAUUAGUUUAAUAUUCUAUAUUCAAUAAGUUUUAUCAUUCAAUAGAAUAUAUAACAUAAACCUUCUAAUAAUCAAAUGACUCUAACAAACUAAAAUUAGAAAUAAAUUUCACAAAAAAUAAAAGUAAACUAUUAGUUAAAAUAACUCAAAUAAAGCCUUAGAUAUUAUUUUUGAAAAAUACUAUUGUACACUCUCUUACAAGGUGUACAUCACAUAGCUAAGGCUCCUAUAUAUUCUUAUGAGUAAAAACUCUUUUGUAUUCAUAAAUUUCUACCAUUGGAUGAAAAGAUAUGUAGCUAAAAUAAUAAUUAUUCUCAAUGAUUGAUUAAAUAGUAUGAUCUGACAGAUUGAAAUGGUCAAAAAGUAGAUUUAACAAUCGAAAAUUUUUAAGUACAAAAAAAUUAAUCAAUACUCACAGGAAUAUAGUAGCCAGACUCUACAUUACAGUACAUUACUAUCUUCACAUUUAAAAUUUGACAAGAUAAAAAAGUAAACCUAAACCAAAAAAAAAACACCAAGAAUUUAAGACCUACACCUACAUGUACUCAAUAUUUUUCUAAGAAAAUAAAACUAAAUUAAUUAAUACUUUGCCAAACCCAUAAGAAAAGGCGGGGCAUGAAAAGAUGUGAUGAAAUUACGGAAAUGCCAACUGAGGCUGGCUAAUUGAGUGUGUGUCCUACAGCCCAAGGAAAAAGUUAAAAUCUUAGCAGCUACAGAGAGAGAGAGAAGUUUUCAUUACACAUGACGUAACGAGUCAGAGAAAAACAGCUGUCAGUCAGUCAUGUCAACCCACGUUCCACCUUUUUACGGAUCUACCCUCUUUCCUAUUAUUAUUAUUAUUGUUAUUAUAUUAUAUUUUAUUUUUCGCCUUUUUCUCUUCACCCUGACCCCACGCUAACAUAGGGACAAAGCGCCGAGAUAGGGACAAGGAUAAAUCAAUGAAAAAGGAAACAGUGAAUUAUGUGAGUAGGUCCAAUACUAUCCAUAUCCAUAUAUAUUACAUUACAAGUCUGGGCCCUGCGAUCUUCGCUGAGCUACGUACACGUUUGGCUGUUGCCCACUUGUCCCUUUUCACUUUUCAGUAAAUUAUAGGCCGUAGCUUCCUCUCGCCUUUUCACUUCAAAUUUUUUAAACCCUAAUUAUUUGAAUGAGAAAUUUAUAACUUUAUUUUUUGGUACACAAAAGGCUUUGGGAUUUCCAAACCUACUUUGAGAAUUUAGAUAUAGAGUUUUUUUUUUUUUUUUUCCUAACAACAUUCCUCAAAUAUAUCGGAAGUAAUGGGAGUAGAGCAUUACAUUAUAUCAACAUAAUUCCAUAAAACUUCAUACAACUAAAUCAAAUGCACCAAGUUAUUUUUUUUAAAAAAAAAAUUUGUAGUUUUAUUUCUGCAUUCUGGUUAAGUAAAAUCUCAAAAUUUACUUAUAUUUGCAAACAGCUAGGAAGCUAAAACCACUGCUGCCACUGAUGGAAUAGAAAAAUACUACUUGUACAUAUUAAAGUAGAAUAUAAAUUUUACACUUGCCUAUCAAAAAUUUAGAUAACUUCUUAAUAUUAAAAGAAUUAAAAAUUAUAAAAUUUUGAGUCCGUUAUCCAAUCUUCCAAAUUUUUAAUUUUACCAUCUAACCUUUUAAUUUGUUUAAUUUCAGUCGGUCAAUGACACUUUAACUUUAAUAAAAUUAUAUAUGUUAGAAUUGAAGAAAAUGUGCUAACUAAAUCUGUUAAAACAAACGAUGUAAUCAAAUUUUUAAUUUUACCAUCUAACCUUUUAAUUUGUUUAAUUUCAGUCGGUCAAUGACACUUUAACUUUAAAAUUUGAUUACAUCGUUUGUUUUAACAGAUUUAGUUAGCACAUUUUCUUCAAUUCUAACAUAUAUAAUUUUAUUAAAAUAAUUAGCUUAAUUUUUGAAGUCAAACAAUUGUUUAGUGACCCAAAUCAAACAAAUUGAUUAGUUGAGUGGUAAAAUCCAAACUUUAAAAAAUUAAACAGUUGAUUGAAAAUAAUUUAUAAUUCAGCUAAACUCUAUCCAUCUUAACCUAAAAGAACUAUAAAAUUAGUAUGAAAAUAUUGAUCCUUGUCCGGCCAGGAUGAACUUUAGGCAUGUUUUUUUGGAUGAACAGGCAGCAUUGAUCUGAAUAAUAAUAAUAAUAAUAAUAGUAGAGUUACUAUACUAUCGAAAACAUAGUGUAUCUGAUACUUCUAACUCUUUUUGGUCUUCAGAUCAAUCUCUUUGAUAAUUUUUAAUUUUUGAAUUAAUGUUAGGGUAAACUUCAAAUACCACCUAUAUGAUUUCGCACUUUUUCACUUUAAUGCCCCGUGGUUUAAAGUAUAUCAUGUUAGUAUCCCGUGAUUUCAUUUUUUUUUUCAUCAACAUUUUCAUUAAUAUUUCAUUAAAUUAUAUAUAAAAAACUUCAGAUAUCCCACCUAAGUUUAUCGAAUAUUCACUUAAUACCCUUUAGUUUUAACUUUAUCACUGAUUUAACGAAAAAAAUUAGUGGAACCAAUAAUAAAAUAAUAAAAAAUUAAGGAAACCACAAGAUACUAAAUUGAUACUGUUAAACCAUAGAGUUCUAAAAUGAGAAAGUGUGAAACCGCACAAAUGAUAUUUAAAGUUUUUCCUUAAUAUUAUUAUCCUGUGAAUUACUCAAUUUUAAGGAGGACCGCAAUCAUCUCAACUGUAUAAUUAUUAAUCCAAAUGACAAAAAGUCAAAACCAUCCAAUCCUCUAUACUUCCAAUGCAUAGUAGCUCUACACUAAUAAUAAUAAUAA
rnacentral:lncRNA from 1 species